rnacentral:lncRNA from 1 species
AUCACCCCUAUAGUUUAGUAACAACUAACAAUGACAUCGCAAUAACAUGCAUCCAUUAAUCUGAUGUCAUGUUAGAACAAUAAAUCAAUGCUGGAUUACCGAACUUACCAAAGAAUGCCCUAAGAGACUAUUUAAGCCAUAAAUGGCCUUCUAUAGCUUGCAGACCUCAUCAAACUGCACUUGUGAGACAUGCUGAGAAGAAGGUUGCUCCAUGUGAAUUUCUUCCUAGACAUCACCAUGAAGAACUGGAUCCAACCCAUAGGAGGAUUAUAAUUUGGAAACUAUGAGAGACAAACACAUAUGAAAAAUGUCAAACUGGUUGAGAACCCAAAAACAAAUUGAAUGGGAGAACAUCGGUGGGUCAGUGACAGAGCCAGACCCUAUGAUUUCAUACAGUUAAUACGAUUACAGAUACUACCUGUAUAAAUGCUAAAGUCAGUUACACUUAUAUAGAUCCCUUCCUUCCACUCAGCUGAUCAAAUCAAACAGGAAAACUUAAGAAAGCAAAGAUGAAGAUGAAGAUUGACAUUUGGGAAAAAGGAGAGCAACAUAAGUUGUAUCACUUUCAUGUUGUUGCAGUAUUACUGGGAAAAAGCUUCUUUAUUUCUUCUAGUCUUUUCUUUUUUGUUUUUUUUUUUUUUUUUUGGUUGGGCAGUAUCACACAAAACCAGACCCAGAAUCUCUUGUGGACUGCCUCUUGAACCAGUCCUCAAGAUGCCUAGAGAGUAAAACAAUAAAUCCUUUAACAUUCCCAAGAAAGGCAAGUAAUGACACACACUACCAAAUGAGACUGUAAAGUAAAUGGACGGUUGAAAAUUAAAUAAUACAUGCAUUUUGACCAUACAAAUUUUGUAGACACACGGUUAAUUAACCAACAAUUUGCACUGUGAAUUUAACAGACCUUACAUCCAUCUUAUAACUACAAUGUUAAUUGCAAUGACUUGAUGAUAUAUCAUACUAAAUCAAGUGUCCUAUGCAGCAUAUGAAGCAAAACGGAUGCUUGGACCCAGGUCCCAGGGUCACAUAAAACCACAAAGUGAAUGGAUAUAACUCCACAAUAAAUCAACUGUCUUAUAACACUAAUUUGGGAUGAGAAAUUGAAUCAAAUCCAAAAUUCUAGUAUCAACGAGCAGGCAUCUUAAUCAAUAAUAUAGGAAUACUAAAUAAAUCUAGGUGUCUACCCAUCCCUUUUAACCUCCCUUACCUAUUCUAGCACAACCAGUUUAUACCAAGCCCUCACCAGCACCAAUGACCUCCUUUGGACAGGACAAAACAAUCUUAAUUGAUUCCACACCAUCUUAUCAUAAAUUGUGGCCAGGAUAAUGUGAAGGAUACACAUCUUAGCAAUCUGAUCUACCAAUGCUUUUAUACAACCACCUUGGUUCCCACUUCAAUGAUACCUUAUAAGUUGUUUUCCACCCAACAUCUAUUAGCCAACCAAUUUUCUCCACAUCAACAACAAUGUUCCUUUUGCAGCAAAUCAAUAAAUUGCAAUUCUCACAAGUCAGAACAAAGGGGACACUUUUAAUGAUGAUUUUAAGCCAGGAAACCUACUGCAAAUUAUUCUAGUGAUAUUCAAAUUGAACAAACAAAUAACAAGAAGUGUACAAAGUCAGAGAAGCUCCAAUGAAGCAAGUCAAAGCAUGGUAGCUAAGUGAUUAUUGAAGAAGAUAAAUUGUCUUCAAAACAUUAAGCAGUAAGAAAUGCCAAACACAGCACAAGUUAGCAAGAGUCAAUCCACACAUAAUAUCGCACAAAUGCCUUGUCAAUCUAACCUUUAAACUUCUUAUCUCUUCUUGUAGCUUUUCAUUUGCAUCUUCAAGAUCCUUAGCUUCAUUUCUCAGCUGGUUCAGUACUCGGAUGGCAUCCCCAAGUAUGGCCAAUUUGUCAGUUUUGGCAGAUUUACCAGGUUCUAAAAUGGAACUCAAGUCUAGAAACCUAAAUCGGACAAACAAGAUUUUUCCUUUGAGACACCAUCCAUCACCUUAUAGAUUGAUCAAUGGAUAGAUACACAAAAAGACAUAGAGAGCACAUAAGAAAUCUGUACAAGUAUCAAACUACAAGAAAUCAAUAAAAGAUUUGGACUACUCAAAUGGUCACAUUUCCCGAUGACAGAUAACAUACGCAAUGAUGAUGAAUCCCAUACCAUUAAAGAUUGUGUUUUUUGAAAUAAUUUUUUGAUAGGUAAGCAACUUAUCAAAAACACCAAACAGGCUAUAAACCAGUACAUGUGAUAUGUGUUAGGCACACAAAGGAAAGGAAAAGGAAGAAGAGAGGAAGACACCCUCCCUUAGUUAUACAGCAGAAGCAAUAAAUAGAAUCCAAAAUUGAUGUAUCAUCAGCAUAUUUCACAGACAAAAAAAAAUAACAAGCUUAAGAAGCAUUUCCUUCAGCUCAAAAUUGGAGGUUCCUCAUCCCAAACAUGUUCCCUAUUUCUCUCUCCAUAUGAACCACAUAACACAUGAGGGUACAAAUCUCCAAAACUUCCACCCUCCCUCCCCAGCUUCCUCCCACACCUACAAUUACCAUUCUGGCCUUUGUGAAAUGCAUCAUCUGCUCCAAAGAGCGUAAAUGAAGGUUCACAAUUCUUGCUAUACUACAAUAAACAAAGAGAUGAUUGCAAGCAUCAUAUUCUUUUUACCUUACAUAACUCCUGCAACAGAUUAAAGGCACGUAGCUGGGAAGUGAAAGACCGUUAUUUUUUUAACCUUAGACAAAAUUAAUCUGAUCUAAUAUGCCUCACCUAUUCUUGAACAAAUGCAGUUGCACAUCAGUCAAAUAAAACCAUGACAUCAAAAAAAAAAAAAAAAGGAAUCUGAUCCAACAAAACACAUGCCUGUCAUUCAAUCUUUCCCUUCGCAAUUUCUCACGGCAAGCUUUGGUUCCAGGCCUGGUGGAUGAAUCAUUGCGUCCCCUACAAAUAGUCAACAUGAAAUUAUCAUGAAAAUCUAAUUACAAAAUGAAAAAUAUGGAUCAAGUUAUUCUACCAGAAAGACUUAUAAAAUGAUAAACAAGGAACCAGCUCAUUUGAUAGUUUUCUAUCUUUUUUCAACUCAUAGUGUAAAACGGUCAUGCAAAUGAAAGCAUUCAUAAAGAAUAUCACACUUCUAUUCUAGCAAGAUUAAAAUAAAAAAAUAAAAAAUAAAAAAUAAAAUAAAAAGAUUGCUAUGAUGGAGACAACUGACAGCCACCUUUACAAGUUUACAAGGAGUAAAGGAAUGGGCUUUAAGGCCAAUCUUUAAUUUGGCAUUCUCUAGAUGACAUUGAGCUUACUUGCGAUCUUAUAUAGUUCAACAUGGACUCAGCCUAGAAGUACUUUCCAGAAAUCAGAUAAUGGGCUUCAUCAAUGGUCUUAAGUUCUUACUUUCAGUCGUUUAUGUUGUCAUUUUCCAAGAGUCUUUUAAUAUGGUCAAGUAGUCAUUCAAAGUCUCUGAUAUUUUCAAUCUUCAUUGCUACUGUGUGAGUAUUUCUAAGAAGUUAUAACUCUUUAGAGAAGUUCUAUAUAGUAUUUGAUAAAAUCAAUGAAUGAAUGAUAAAAAUUUCCAACACCAUUAGUAAUAAAUGAUACCACCAUUAGCAAGCACCUAUUAUACAUUUAUUUUUUAGAAAUUUAGAAAAAACAUUAAAAUAAAAAACCAUGAGAAGAACAACUUGAAUCAACUCAAUGACUGGACAAGUGCAACAAUGUUUAGAACAUGAGAGCUCCACAUGUUCAAAAUAUAUAUCCCAUAUAGGUAAUGCUAAAUAGCACAAUUUUCCCUUUUCUACUUUCACCAGUUACAUGGAGAAUAAGAGCUUUAAAGAACAUAUUAAGAGGACACUUAUUCCCUAAAACUUGCUCUUUUGAUUGUCUCAUUUAAAGUAAGGUAAGAACAUUGAAAAACAAAUUUGUGACACUAUCCAACAAUUCAUGGAGCAAUGUUAUAUAGAUACCAGUAUGAGCAUCAAAUUUUCCAUGAGCCCUUAGAUUCAACACCAGAAGAACCUUAGGAUUUGACUAUGAGGCAGAAUAUUUAAAAAAUGUUUUACAACGCAAGUACAUUUAGAGAAUGUUUGGCCUUCAAUGUGUUACAUCUUCUUACCCAUCUACAUCUGAGAUCACAGAAUUCAAAAACUUAACAGUGUAAAGGUUAUGGGGUUGUUAAGCAUAUAAUUACAAACUACAGUCUAGAAGUGUAAACUUCACCAACUCAUGGAUGCAACAAUCAUCAUCCUUAAACCCUCAUGCGAACCAAAUACACUUAUCCAACCAUGUUCAAUAUCAAUCCCUCAAUAUUCUAUAAAAUCCCGAAAUAUAAAUAGCAAUUCAUAUUAAUUGCAUAAUUCUCUGACCACAUACACCAUUGAAUUCAAUCCCAAAGGCAAGAAAAUAAAAAGACAACAAGGGGAAGAAACACAUUGCUACAUGAUGUUACUCAAUCCCGAUAGCAUAGUUUUCCCACAUUUAAAAAAAAAAAAAAAAAAAAAAAAAAAAAAAAAAAAAGCUCGCAUAUUAUUCAAAUCAUACAGUUCAGCAUUGAUAAGAGAUUUCAUUCCAGCAUAUUGCACAUUAGAGUUACAAAUUACCUCUUCUGUCUGCCUUCAUUUUCUUGCGACGCAGCACAAAUACGCGAAAGAUCAAUAUCGACACCAGCACUGAAAUAGAACAAGCAUACCAAUCACAUUAACACGCCGAUCUAAAGUAUCCUCAUUUCAAUUUCACGAUUAAAACAAUUUCAAACAACUUUAGGUCAAAAUGACUCGGACCGAUAUUCUAAUUAUCCGAGGUGAAGCUGAGUCGCCAAGACAACAAUUAACUAUCAAACUUAUAAAAUCAAUCACACAAUUAUGUUUCGCCAAGCCGCUGAUUGGCUGCCGAGAAAGCAAAAGAAAGGAAGAGAAAAUUUAAACAUACAGGUACCCGUCGUUUAUCCAAGAGAGAUCGUUGGAUGUGACGUCGUCUAUCAAUUUAUGAUUAAGAAAAUCCCAAGUAUCAUCGUCGAAGGAAUCCAUGGAUUUGGGAUAGGCAACAGGAAUCCAGCACCUAGUUUGGAGGGGGAGAUGGAUAUUUUGAAAGAAAAUUGCCCAGCAAAGGCCCUAAAGUGGCACCACGUGGAACACGUUUGAAUAAGUAUGACGGCGAGUUGCCGCUUCCUGUUUUGACCAACACGUGUGUCUGCACCUACUCCUUUCCCACGCGCCUCUGUCGUCGUCGAUUCGGGUCCGGUGACCCUCUCAAUUUUAAUUAACUGGAAAAUACGCGAUUUACUGAUUUGAGUGAUUUCCAUUUUUAUUUUUGAAAAAUAAAAAUUAGGAUAAAAAAUAAGUUUCGACUUUAUCUUUUUUAUUUAUUUAAAAAUAAAUAAAAUAAAAAUUUUGGAAAAGGCUUGAUGUUUUAUUUUUCAAAAUUUCUUGAGACAAUUAAAAAUUAUCUUUUGUAAAUAAAAAAGAAUAAAAUUAUAUCUUAUAUUGGGUAUAAAAGGGAUACAUAUAUUAUAAAUAUGAAAUACAUGGAAAAGUAGGUUUUUAUUCACUAAUUUAAAAAAAUAUAGAAAAAUAACCUAAAUUUUUAUUAAUCAUAUUUAUCUUUACCUAUUUAAAAAAAUUUUAAAAUACAUGUAUUUUUAUAAUUUAAAUAAUUUUUUCUUAAAAUGAUCAUUUGACAUAUUUAUAACACUAAUUAACAACUUUUUAUUGUGAGAAAUGAUUUAAGAUUAAUAAAAUAAGAAAUUCAAAAAAUUAAAACUAUAAUACUUUAAUACGAAAAAUACAGCAUAAAAUAUUAAUUUUUACUUCAUUAAAACACUUUGAUAAAAAAUAUGAAUAUCAAAAAAGAGUUGGAAAUAGAAUGAGUAAAUAUUUUUAUUUUAAAAUUUUUAAGUUUUUUUGUUUUUAAUUAUAUUUAAUUUUAAUUGUAUUUUUAAUUUUAAAAUUUUGUAAAAAAAAAUUAUUUAAUUUUAUUAAAUAAAAUGAGAAAUUGAAAAGAUUUAUAUAAUAUAUGAUAUAAAAUCAUUAUUAAUUAGAAGAUUAAAAAGAUUAUAUUUAUCACUUAUGAAUUUUGAAAAAAAAAAUCCACAAAUCUCAUAUUAUAUAAUAAAAAAUUUAUAAUAUAUUUAUCAGUCAAACACCUUUAUUAAAUUAAAAUAAUAAAUUAAUUUUAAAUAAUUUUAUUUAAAGUAAAAUGAUAUUUCAAGAAAUAACUAUUUAAAUUAUGAAAAACUACGUUUAUUUUUAAAUGGGUGGAGAUAAAACUAAUUUUUUUUAAAAAAAAUUAAAGUUAUUUUUCCUAUAUUUUAUCAAAUUAAGGAAUUAAAACCCACUUUUCCUAGUAAAUAUUAGGAUAAAGAAAUAUUUAUAGACAUCAAUUUCAUUCAUUGUUUUGAAUGAAAUUGGAUAUGGGAAAUUCGAUAACAGGCUAAAAUGAAAAUUUUAUUAAACCAGGAUUUCCAUCAGUUGUAUACAUGGAUUUCUGUGUCAAUUUAUAGUUUCGAAACAGAAUCAUUUGAUGAGAAGCGGUCAGCAGAGAGGACUUCCAGCCAAAAAAAGUUGAAACAUAAUCAAAUGACAUGAGCUUCAUUCUUAAGCUGGUCGAUCAGCUCAUCCACGGAAGAAACAAUAACUCCUGCUUUUCUCUUGGGAGGCUCAGUGACCUGAACAACCUCCAAAUCGGAUUUGAUAUCUACAUUCAAUUCCUGUGGAGUGAACUUCUUUAUUACCUUCGAUUUUGCUUUCAUAAUGUUGGGGAGUGUUGCAUACCGAGGCUGGUUCAGUCUCAAAUCAGUGCUGCAUGAGGUACAAAAUAUCAGGUCAAGUAAUGAGAUGAAACACAGAGCCAAGUUGCAUUUAUGCUAGCCUAUGGCAAAUAAUUGCAGUCAGCUUUCUGAUAAUAGCUUUGUUCAUCUGAGAAACACUUCCUAUUCAUGUGUUAUCAGCAUUUCCACAUGUUGCCUACUGCCAUUGGGCAAAAGCUUGGAUGAAAAAGAAGCAUGUUUUUGUCUUAAUUCUCUUAAGCAGAAUCAAGGAAUAGGGUUUUUGAGCAGAACUUCAUGUUACGAGUAGAUCCUUCCAUCAUUUGAGCACUAGCUAGCUAGGAAUUCUUACAAGUACAGAAUAUAAAGCUUGUAAUGACCAUGAAUGGGCUGCAAAGAACACAUGAAUAACUUCAAGAGUUCAAAACAGACAACAAAUUUUGCCCAUAGCAUAUAUUUUUAUACAGAAAAAUCAGUUGCAUACUCUUAAAUGGUCAAUUAAAGCUCAUCAACCAAAUCUGAAGCGUCACAAUUUAACAUUUGCUUAAGCCCACAUGACUUGCAUCAGGUACUCAGUCAAUAACCACAAUAAUCCCACUAGGACCUCCUCCUCUGUUCAUCAUUGAAGACCUUGGAAUUAGGGGACAUCAUUUACAUGGAAUUAGGGGAAUUAGAAGACCUUGGAAUUAGGCAAUAAGCUCAUAUGCUCUCACACUUCCCAAAGACAGUCCUCAUAGAUGGGCAAUCCUCAUCUUAAAAGCACAUCAAUCCCUAUUACAUUUGGUUUCUAACUUUAUCAUAUGCAAACAAUAUGAGACCUUUGACGCUACUGAAAUAUUAAUCUAGACAGACAUUCAUUAACUACAUUUUUCCCUGUUAUACAGAGUAGUGAAAGGUUCUAGAAAGUUUUUAAGCCAAUACACCACUGCAUACACAUCGGAAUAAAAGUUCUGCUUACAGAAACAACGCUACAAUACAUCCUAUUAAGUCCCAUACGAUAUGAAUAUUAUUAACUAUUUUCUGAUAACCCAAGAAAGAAAAGACUAGAAUAGAAUAAAUAUAUUUUAAAGCAUAUUUUCAAACUGGAAGUUAAUUAUAAUCAGUAACACAAUUAAAUAAUGAAUUUAGAGUCACAUGUUUCUAAACCAAAAAAGACAAGUUGUUUAAUUAAUAUGAAUAUAAAUUUAAAAAUAAAACUUUAAAAAUAUGAUCUAUCUAUGUUUCAAAGGUUUGUUAUAGAGAUUUCAGAGAUUUCACGCUUUCUUUUAUAAGCACAGCCAACCAAAAUACAUUAACAAACAGUUUUUCCAAGAGAGAAGACGAAUAAAAACUUCAAGAAGAAAAUUUGUUUAAGUUCAGCAUAAGAAAAUAAUUUGAGUUUAAAUCCCCAAAUCUACAUCAUUCUGUACAUCACCUAGAAUUUUUUUGAUAGGUAACCCAUUUUCCUUUUAUUUAUUUUAUUUUAUUUUAUUUCAUUGUUAAAACUUGAACUUGGAACCUCCCACAUCCAAGCUACAACCCUUUCUCACUUGAGACAAGCAUGAAGGAGUAUAUUUCACCUAUAAUCCUUAGUUAUGUUUGGUUCCUAGAAAGUACCAAGGAAAGAAAAAAAAGGGAAAAUGGUUUCUUAUGUUUGGAUGCUACAGAAAAAGAUAAGGGAAAAAAUAUUGAGGGAAAAUGCUAUAGAAAAAAGAUUUUCCUCCUGAUUUUCCUUAAAAAAUGAUGAGGAAAGUUGGCACAAUGUGCAUUCCUCACAAUUUUACUUCCCUCAAUUUUUCAAUGCACAACCAAAUAAGAGAAUUUUUUUAAAAUUUCCUCAUAUUUUUCUUUCCUUCUAAUUUCUUUCCCACAAACUUUCCAAAACCAAGCAUAGCCUUGAUUUUUUGGUCGAUGGAUCCUAAUAUUUUUUUCCAUGCAAGAAGAACCGAUGGAUUAGUCUUCUCCAUUUAUGGUUCCAAAGGUUUAGAAUUUCUUUAGCAUUUUAUUUUGCUUAAUUGAAAAGACAGAGAACAAUAAAAGUAUUUCAAGAGCUUCAUCAAAAUUUUAAACCACAAAGCUCAAUGUAAGACAUGAUGGCAUGUAAGACAGAAAACAAAAACAAAGACAGAAAAACAGUAAAUAGCAUAAGAAGAACAAAUAGAAAACAGAGUGAGACAAUUACGUGAUUACUGCUGGUAAGUCCAAACAUAAAGUUUCAAGACCACCAUCCACCUCUCUCUCCACUGUUGCCACCUCUUUCUCCUUGUCCAGCACAACCUACUAGAAAGCAGCAGCCAGGUUGAACAAUUAUUAAAGGCAAAGAAGAAUAACUUUUAAAGAGAUCAUCUAAAUGUUCUAUCAACACCAAUUGCCAAUACAUCUCAAAUUCUCUAGGGAAAGUGGGGAGAGAUACAAAAACAUAAGCUAUGUUUGGUUCCUAGAAAAUUUGAAGGAAAAUGUAAGGGAAAUAAGAUAGAAAGGAAAAGUAGAAGGAAAGACAAAGCAAAGAAAAUGCAUAGGUUUCUAACUAAUUUUAAUUAUAUUUGAUUUUAUUUCUUAUUUUUUUAUAGUAAAACAAAACAUAAGAAAAUAAUUUUCCUUAACAUUUUUUUUCCUUAAUACUUUCCAAGAGCCAAAGGUAUCAAUGGUUUUAUUGAUGCACACAACAUAAUUCUUUCAGGUAUGCCCCUUGCAGCUGGAGAACAAAAAGAAUAUAGGUACAAAAUGAUUUAAGAAAACAAAGAUUACCACCAUAGAAAAGCUAAAGUUAAGUUGAAUUCUAUUGCAUACAGAAAUCCAUGAAUCAUGACAGAAAUCCUAAUAAUAUUUUCCAUGAGGAAAAACAUCCACAUUUAUAAUACUACUGAAGAACCACAGUAACAGCAAUUUUAGGGAAAAAAGGACCACUGGCAUAUGAUGGUACCAUAAGAACAAUCUCAGCCCAAAAAACCCUUCAUAGGGGGGGCAAAUUGCUCUAACUCUUGAAAUCUACCCAAAGAAGGGAAACUACCUCUUUAAUCCAUCUUGGUUAGGUACCAGUUCCACAAGGGGCCAUGGUCCCCAGAUCCUUAUUUUUCCUUGUCCACAGUGCUUUUUACAUUCGGAGUAAUUACAAUAUCAGAAACAAGAAGAACAUAACAUCGAUUGAUGUAUUUGGAAGCAAAAAAAAAAGGUUAAAAAAGCUGUCUUAAACCUUUUGGGGUAUCUGUUAUUUUGCUUUCAUCAACUCAAUUGAUGCUUUUUUCAGCCUUUCCCUCCUUUCAUGGCCUUUGAUAUACUCUAUGCAUGCCUUGCUGAUGCUCUUACCAUUCAGCCUAAGGCCACACAACUAGCCUUUCGCAAAGACAUGACUCCAGUUUUCAGCUUUCUCAUCUUUUCAUGGCACACUCGCUAACACUGUCUUCACCCUAAGUGAUAUGAUGUGUCUCACUCAUGCAACCAGUAUUCACCCAAAGAGAUAGAUCAGAGAAAAUUUCUCUGUGUUAAGUUUCUUUAAAAGCAAACAGAGUCUUUGAGAGUUUCUUGUUAUUCCAUCUAUGACCAAAAGGGUUGAGAUUCAUGGCCCCUUGCAAUGAAUUUUCCAUUAUCAUCUUCAAAUCUGACAUUUAAAUCUUGUUUUCUUGUUUUCCUGUUUUUACUCUCAAAAUAAUCCAAAAACAGUAUUUUGGAAACCCUCAAUUACUUCAAACGAUCAAUGAGAGGCAAAUUGGAAACCAUAAUUCACAAGCGCUGGCAAAUGGAAAUGGACUCUAAAAAGAUGUUAGCUGUAAACUAAUUGCUUGUUGGCUCUGGUGGCAUCCAUCAUCAAAGAAAAAAGAUAAAUAAACUGAGACAUGGAAUUUCACUAUCCUUUUUUUCUUAUAGGUAAGCGAAGCUUGUAUGAAAGGAAUAAAGAAAAUAUAUACAACAUAUACAAAGCAACCAAAAUGGAAUUUCACCAUCCUAGCUGAAAAGUGGCGCACUGUUACCCUACUUGAUGUUGUAAUAAGCUUUUUCAUCCUAAACUAGGGGAAAAUGCCACUAGCAUGCACCUUACAAGUCUUUCUAAACAUUUCUGCAUCUCAUCAUGAGAGUUUUAUGGCAGUGAAACCCCAUCCCAUGCCUCCGUCAGUGAGGAUUCUAUAACAACAGAUUCAUAUAUAUCAUUCUCUAAUCCUUUUCUCUUGUAUGUGAAUAGAACAUAGCUCUGUUUGGAUCCAAGAAAGAAUGACAGAGGAGACCAAAACACUCAAAACACUGAACAUAACUUUAGAAAGUUCAAAGUUAUUUUCAGGAUUUGCCUUUUAUUUCUCCCAUUCUCUCUGAUAUAAAGACAAAACCUAAUACUUGUAGAAAGACACAUGGUUAAAUUUUUGUUGUCAACGCCAACAAAUCCAUGUAAGGUGAUGCUUUUCACUAAGAAGAGACUCUAAGAUUAGAUUCCCAAUGUAUAGAGUGUUUGCGCAGUAAACAAAUCAAUCACUUAUCAUUUAUAUAACAGUAGAAGUGUAUGGAGAGUGGGACUAACCUUGGAAGCAAAGGUCCCCUGAGGCCAGUUGAGCAACCCGGCAACCAUUUGCCCUGUUUGAUUGCAAUCGUCAUCAAUGGCCUAGAAAACCCAUGCCCACAUCAGAAAACAACAAUCCACCAUAAAAAGAGUCUAGGAUUUUCACGGAAUCCGCAAAUUUAUUUUUAAAUCGUUACCAAAAACCCUAAUCUCUGGGCACGAAUUCACAGACCUGUUUGCCCAGAAUAAGGAGGCCAGGCUUCUCCACAUCGACGAGAGCUUUGAGAAGCUUAGCAACUGAAAGUGGGUACAGAGUGGCGGAAGCUUCGACGUGGAUGGCCCUAUCGGCGCCCAUGGCGAGACCCGUUCUGAGCGUGUCGACGCACUGGCUGGGACCCACACUGACAGCGAUAACCUCCGACGCCAGACCCGAUUCCUUGAUCCUCAGAGCCUCUUCCAAACCUAUCUCACAAAAGGGGUUCAUCGACAUCUUGACGUUGCUGGUCUCCACGCCGCUCUGAUCGUGGGUUGGCGAUUGUUAUUGGAUGAUGAUGAAAUUACAGAUACUGAAUAACUUGAGAGUUUGGAUUUGGGUUACCUUGUCGGAUUUGACUCUGAUCUUGACAGCGUAGUCCACAACACGCUUUAUCGCCACCAUUAUCUUCAUCUCGUAUAUGGGUGGUUAUCUUCUCCGGCACAAGGGUAUUGGCAAAUGACUGAUGAUGAAGGACGAGGAUAUUCGCCCGAGCCCUACUGCACGACACCACAUCCGCUUAUAAAAUCUUUUGAUACGGAUAAGUACAAGGGAAGUGGAAAAAAAGGAUUAUUAAGAAAAAUAAAUAUAUUACCAAAAAAAUUAUUUAAAAUUUUGUUCAUGUAGAAAGAACCCGUGAAUCAGAUCGAAAAAAUUAUAUUAAAACUGCUGUAUAGCCGAAAAUUGUGUACAGAAUUUAUUUUAACAUUGUAUUAUUGAAUUUUUUAUUCAAAAAUUGCUUAACGUGAGAUAGAAAUUAAAAAAUCAUUAGUAAUUUUGUCCGAAAGUUGUUAUAUUUCAUGUGUUUUAAAAAUAGAUGUAAUUUAUUCCUAUUUGCAUUUUUAACGUACAUUUAAUUAAAUAACCCAAAAAGUUAUUGAGUUCACAUCAUCUAUGGAGUCUACCUCUCUUUGCUUUUGUUGCUUCCAAAAAUACCAUACUCCCAUAUUUUUUUGGUUCUACUCAUUUUACUUUAUUUUUUUCAUUCCAUUCAUUCCACGUGAAGUCUUCAAUCCUAAUAACAUUUACUAUAUUACAAUUAAGUUUAAUUUUUAAAAAACUUAAUUAGGGUUAAAUUUCCUUUGAGAGAACUUCAUUACAAUUAUUUGAGUUGUACGUUAAGUUUCAUUUAAAAAUAACUUAUUUAAAAAGAUGUUAAGCUUCCCCUAUUUUAUUUAUAAAGUUUAAUAUCUAUUUGAUUUUAUAUUUGAAAUCCAACUAAAACCUAAUAACGAAUUGUUGUAAAAAAACUCCAAUCAAAAUACUAACAAAAAUUAAAACAUAAAACUCUGAUAAAAAAUUGUUAAAAAAUCCAACAAAAAAACAAUCAUAAAAAACCCUAAUCAAAAACAUCAUGGAAGUUUAAAUGAAAUUGCCAAAAAAUAAAAAGUAUAGAAAACCCUAACAAAAAAACAACACCAAAACACCUGACAAAAAACAAUUACAAAUUCUAGCACAAAAACCCCCAAUUAAAAAUAUCUAUAAAGAAAAACCUAAAAAAAACCAAUUAUAAAACCUCCAACAAAAAAUAAAGAGAAAGAUGAAGAAUAUGAAAAAUUUUGAAGAAGAAAGAAACAUGAGAGAACUAUCAUUGAUCUUUAUUUGUUAAUCUUUGUUAUAUGUUUGAACUUCACUAGAAAAUGAGAGAGAGAGCAUAAACCUAAAGAGAGAAAGAGCUGAAAAUGAGAGGAGAAAUGAAUCACAAUGAGGGGAAUGACAAUUUGAGGAAAUAUAGAAGGGUUAAAUCAUUUGAACUAGGUUAACGUUUUUAUUAAAAAAAAAGAGUAAUGAAGGUCCUUGUUCUAAUUUCAAGAGUAUGUCUGUUAAUUACCAAAUGUGGCAACUCUAAAUAAAAUCCUUUGUUAUCAACUAAAACUAAAAGUCCCAUUACAUCAUAUCCAACUUUCAUUUGUUAUCAACAAAGUAAAACUAUAUACAACUAUUAUCACCAUCUCUCCUAUUUUGAUGUUAUUUUCUUAGAUGAAUUUGUAAAUCAAAAUUUACACCACCCAUAAAUUUUUUGAGCUUCCUAUUUAACACAACUUCAAUUUGUUAUACUUUGAACAUCACAAAGAUAAAGUAAUCAACAUUUUGCUUGGACAAGUUUUUCUUCUCUAAAGUUUAGAGUCCUAUUUCACUUCCCGUUUAUGGGUUGUUAGUUCAUCUAAUAUCUCACCAUCAUCCAUUCCAUGUACUGUGUUUCCGAAAUGAGUUGAUUCCACAUCCUAAAUGUCUGUGCAAAUUAAUAAGGAAUGUCGAGUUACCAAUUUUCUUAAAAGCUUAAUCUUGCAAGAUUUGGAUUCAAAAUGCAUAUCAUGCUCUCUUUAACACCCCUCCCCCCUCUCACAUGUAGCCCUAUACCCACACGUAGAGAAAUAGACUUAUAGGAAAAUUGGUAGUUUAAUAUAGUAUCAGCACUUGGUUUGGUGGGAGGUCUCCUGUUUGAGUCACCUCUCCACAAUUUACAUUUCUCCUAUUUGUUUAAUUUACAGUUCUUCCCUUAAUCUGUAAUUCUUUGGAUAUAAAUUUUCCCCCUAAUUUGUAGUUUUGUGGAUAUGAAUCUCUCUUCCAUGUUCAGGUAUGGGGCCACACAUAAGAGAGGGUGUUAAAGAGCAUGAUAUGCAUAUUAAACCCAAAUCCUAUAAGUUAAAACUUUUAGGAAAAUUGGUAGUUUAACGCUUUUAGGAAAAUUGGUAGUUCAACAUGUGUACACCCCAUUUUGGGGACUGCUAUUGCUCCCACUUCUUUUUGUCAAAUGGUGGAGCUUUUUAGGAGCACAUGUUGUAUUUGGAAAGGCUAUUAGAAAAUGGCAACAUGACUGUUAAUGGAAGUAAUGAUUUUCUAAAAAGGCAACCAUGGGAAGACACAUAACAAAGAUGUUUGGGGAGGAGGGAGAGUGUGCAUCAAGACUACUCAUGAGGGGUAAGAAACAAAAAAAAAAAAGUGUCGAAGAUAACUAAAAAAUUGGAGAAACAUAAAGGAAUAAGGAUUUUAGGGCUAUGGAUGGUGAACAAGAGUGAAUUAUGGGUGUCUAGGACAGCUAGGAAUGGUGAGAGGAGUAGGGAGCUGUAGAAGGUGAUGAGCUAGGUAAGAUGUAUUUUCGAGAAAGAAAAGAACCAAAGAAAGAAGGUGGUGAAUUAAGUGAGACACGUCUCAGAGAAGCAGAGAAAGUUGGCUUGAAGCCAAGCAAACUUUUGCUUGAGAUGAGCAUUGCCUAGUAAGAUUGUUUCGAUUCAUCGAUUAUUACUGAUCAUCAUACUUCUCUUGUCUUAUAUUCAUGUGAUUAUUUUACAUUGAUUGUGGGGUUGCUUUGGUUUGGUUAUUAUGGCUUCAUCCUCUAUUUCUUUAGUUUUAUUCAAGGAUAAAUCUAAUUGUGCUUUGAUUAGUUAUUCCAUAUUUGAAAAUCUUUGUGUAUUUUGGGUUUUUUCUCUUUAGAUAUUUUCUAGAUUAAUCCACUGACCUUUAAACCCACAAAUAAAGAAAAAUGAAAUGAGUUUUUUCAUAUUUGUUGGGUGUUUGGCCCUUGUUUAUCUUUUUUUAAAGCUUUAUUCCUUUAUAUUCUCUAUUUCUCCCCAUUUUGUACAUGGGUGUUUCAAUCAGAGUCUCUAUUUUGGCUUCCACAUUUGAGAUUUCUUUUAUGAGCGAAGACCCAAAAAUGGAGACUGGCUUCUUGUAAUUGAUAAAAUAGUUAGUCACCCAUUAGCUUAGAUGAAGCAUAGAUGUUAACCGGAUUGUGAACAUGGAUACUCUAUUUUGGGCCUAUUAGGCCUUCCAAUCCUCUCUUAGUUUCAUUAUUCUUGAGGAUAGUGUUUGGUUGUGUCUGCUACUUAUUCUGUGGCUUCGGUGGUCUGUUUGUUUAUUCUUGGCUAUUAUCAAUGCUAACAAUGGGAAAGAGACUGGUUUUGGUUAUGCUCUUACGGAUUUGAAGGUGAUCAAAGGGUCCAGUGAAGAGAAGAUUAGUAGGUCAUAUUAGGUUAAUUAAUUAAUUAGGACAUGUUUUGAGUUAUAUUAAGUAAUACAAGCUCUUAGUGGGCUUAAGUAACUUAAGCCUAGUGGGGAAUGCCAUAAAUACCCCUUAGGGGUUAGCAUUUCCAUAGGUUUUUCUAGAGAGUCAUCUUUCACCUCCAAAGAAGGAGAGUCAUAGCCUUUACCAUUUUUUCCAUCAUUAUCGAAGUGUGUCAAGAUUAAGGUUUAAGUCAUUGAGCGGAAGACUCCAGGUUUAUGAGACUUCAUACAACUUCGUUUUUCAUUUUCAUCAAAUGGAAUUAAUUUGAAAACAUUUGAAUCUGAAGUAUGGUUUUUGUUAGCAUAUUUCGAAUCCCUUUAAAGUUUAAAAAUGCAAAUUUUCCACUAUGUAUAGGAUUUAAAAUCGCUUAAGAUAGUUAAACAUGUUCCCCACUUGAUCUGAAUUGGGAAACGGAGAAAUCUGAUAUUUUCCCAUCACAAGGUAGGAUAAGAACUUGUGAUUGAUCUUUAUGGAUUGGACUAAUUAAUUAAUUGGAACCUAAUUAGGCUAAUUAAUUAAUUAAGACCUAAGCAAACUAGUUUAAGUUACACAAGCCUAGGAUGGACUUAAGUGACUUAAGCCCAUGGGAAGCUUAUAUAAACUCCUUUAGGGGUUAGGGUUUCAAACUUUUAUCAUCUAGUCUUCAAUUCCUUAAAGAGAAUAGAACUCGAGCCAACAACUCUCCUAAAGGAUUCUAUUGCUCCGUGUCAAGAUUCGAAAAAAAACUAUUUGAUGGAAGGUUGUUAUGUUUAUGAGAUUCGUUAUGUUUUUUUACACCUUUUCACUAAAUGGAAUUGAUAUAGGAAUGUUCAUAUCUCAAGUGCAACACACUUAUUCUCUUUAGAUUUAUAUUGCUUAUGGUUUUUUUUUUUUUUGUCAUGGUUUUCCGUUAAGAUUAGAUUAAGAGAGCCCUAUGUCAUAGAAUGCUUCAAAUGAGCCUCCCCGGGGGUUUGUAUAGAGCCCAUGAAGCUUCUAGAGACUCCUAUACUUAGCCAUUGGUGGGAAGAGUGUGAAAGGUUCUACAGAUGUCUAGAGAUAUUUACACAUCUCUACACUAUGGUGGAAGGCAUGAGAGGAGUCUAAGGCAUUCUAAAGAAUUAUAAAGAUCUCUUAUAUAUUCUUGUACAUAGGCUUGUACAUAGAAUUGUGUAGGAAGUUAUAGAUUAUUCUUGAGCUGUAAGGAACCCUCCAAGGUUCCAGAGAGUUCCAUUGGUGCCUAUAAAUAGGUGAAUGCCUCAUUUGGCCAAGACACUAAGCAAGUGAAUUCCAAAACACUUGUAAAGCUUCCUUUGAAUAAUAAAAGUUUCAAUUCUUCAAGAGUUGCCUAUUAUGCCUUCUAAAACUUCUAAGUCAUGAGCAUCUUAACCUAACAAGUUAAGCAUUGGGAGUAAUGCUAACUUAGCAAGAUCAAGGAUCUUGACUUGUCUAAGUGUUGCACGAUCUUAGGAAAAGAUUAAGUUUGUGACAGUUGGUUUCAAAGUGUGACUACGAAGUGAGCAUAGUAAAGGAAACAUGUCGAGCUUCAACAUGGAGGAAACUAGUGAGCAAACCCGUGGGAAAGAAACCGAGCCUACUGCAUAGGACAGGGACAUGAAGGAUAAAUCUCGUAAUGCCAUAGCCAACGUGGAGGCAAGGCUAGCCAAGGUGGAGCUAGCCAUGGCAGACACCCGGGAAGGGGUGGACUUAAUCGAGCAAGGCAUGGAAAAUGGCUUAGAGGAUCUAAAUGAGCAUAUCCAAGACCUUCAUGAGAGAGUGCUAGGCUUACAAGUUCGGCCGAUGUCAUAUGAGGAGUUCAUGUCCUUCCAAAACGAGGUCAUGAGCAUGUUUGCUAGCAUGGAGUCGAAGGUGGAGGCCUUGGCUGCACGCAUAGAGGCCCAAGACCAAGAGGUUCAACAAGAGCUAGCUAUCUACAAGACUGUCUUAUCAGCACGAGUCAUGGCCACUCAUGAGGCACUAAGGGUGGAAGUGCCCAAACCACACACGUUCAAUGGCAAGAGGGAUGCCAAGGAGUUGGACAAUUUCUUGUGGCACAUGGAGCUCUACUUUGAGGUUAUAACACUAAUAGAUGAAGCCACUAAGGUAUGUACCACAACCCUCUACCUCACCAAUAAAGCUACUCUAUGGUGGCGUCAGAGGUUUGCCAAUAUAGAAAAAGAAAUGUGCACCAUAGACACAUGGGAUGCCUUUAAGCAAAAGAUCAAAAAACAAUUAUACCUUAAUGAUGUGGCUUACCUAGCAAGGAAAAACACAAAAUGUCUUAAGCACACAGACUCGAUCCGUGAGUAUGUCAAAGAAUUCUCUACACUUAUGCUUGAGAUACCCAACAUGUCUGAGGAAAAGCUACUAUUCAACUUCAUGGACAACUUGCAAAGCUGGGCCGAGCAAGAGUUAAGGAGAAGUGGUGUCCAAGACCUAGCCACGGCCAUGGCGGUAGCGAAGUCCUUGGUGGAAUACAAAAAGGGAGACUCUUUUAAGCCCAAGCCACAGUCUAAGGGUAAUCAUGCUAAAGGUGGGGAAACAAGGGAUCAAGGAGGUACACUCCUAAGGAAUGAUCAAGCAAGACCUCUGGUGGCAAGGAUGGUAAGGGUAAGGAUAAACGGAAAUAGUUCACGCCUAAGAUCAAUUGCUUCCUAUGUGAUGGUCCACAUUGGGCGCGAGACUACCUCAAAAGAAAAGCCCUAAAUGCCAUGAUCGAGGAAAAGUAGAAGGAAGACAAUGCUCAUGUGGGAUCAUUACAACUCUUAAAUGAUAUCAAGGCUAAGUCAGUGCUUAAGACACCUCAAAGUAAAAGUCUAAUGUACAUAGAAGCCCUUGUAAAUAGGAAGGCUACCAAGGCUUUGGUGGACACUAGUGUCACUCAUAACUUUGUCUCGAAGGAUAAGACAAAGAACUUAGAGCUCCAAGCAUCUAAGGAAGGAGGUUGGCUCAAGGCAAUUAAUUAAGUUUCCAAGCCAUCACACGAAGUAGCACGCAGGGUGGCAAUGCACAUUGGCUCAUGGGAAGGAAUGGUCGACUUCACAGUGGCACCCAUGGACUACUUCAAGAUGGUACUGGGAAUGAACUUCCUAUAGAAAGACAAGGUCAUGCCACUACACUUCCUACAUUUAAUGGUUAUCCUAGAGGAUGAAAAGUCAUGCAUAGUCCUUACGGUCACCGAAGGUUCACCCAAGACCCCUAUGAUAUCGGUUAUGCAAGUAAAGAAGGGAUCAAAGAGGAAAGAGGUGACCUACCUCACCACUCUUAAGGAGGAAAAUGAUGAUGAGUUGGGGGAGCCCAUGCCUAAGGAAAUCAAGAGAGUCUUUGAUGAGUUCAAGGACGUGAUGUUGCCUAAGUUGCCUAAAAGACUCCUUCCUAGAAGAGAGAAAGAUCAUAAGAUCGAGUUAGAUGCAGGAACUAAGCCCCUUGCUAUGGGGCCAUAUAGGAUGGCACAACCCAAGCUGAAAGAGCUAAGGAAACAACUUAAGGAGUUGUUGGAUGCAGGGUUUAUCCAACCAUCCAAGACUCCCUAUGGCGCACCGAUUUUAUUUCAAAAGAACCAUGAUGGGUCCCUACAGAUGUGCAUCGAUUACCAAGCACUCAAUAAGGUAACAAUAUAGAAUAAGUACCCCAUUCCACUCAUUGUUGAUCUAUUUGAUCAACUUGGUAAAGCAAGGUAUUUCACUAAGUUGGACUUGAGAUCAGGCUACUACCAAGUGAGGAUUGUGGAAGGAGACAAACUGAAGACUACAUGUGUGACCCGAUAUGGCUCAUAUGAGUUCUUAGUGAUGCUCUUCGAUCUCACCAAUGUACCAACAAUGUUUUGGACACUCAUGAAUAAGAUCUUCCAUCCCUAUUUAGACUAGUUUGUGGUGGUAUACUAAGAUGACAUAGUCAUCUACAAUAGCAUCUUAGAGGAGCACGUGGAGCAUUUAAGGAAGGUCUUCAAGAUCUUAAGGUAAAACGAGUUAUAUGUAAAGAAGAAGAAAUGCUCAUUUGUUAAAGAGGAUGUGAGCUUCCUAGGGCAUCGCAUCAAAGAUGGCAAGCUGAUGAUGGAUGACAACAAGAUGAAGGUCAUCUAGGAAUGGGAUCCACCUACUAAGGUACCUCAACUAAAGUCUUUCCUUGGCUUGGCUAACUAUUACCAGUGGUUCAUCAAGGGUUACUCUACAAAGACAGCUUCACUCACUAAUCUUCUUAAGAAGAACAAGGCAUGGGUGUGAGACAAAAGGUGGCAACAAGCCUUUGAAGAUCUAAAAAGUGUUGUGAUUGAGGAGCCAAUGUUGGCAUUACCCAACCACAUGAAGGUUUUUAAGAUACACACAGAUGCCUCAAACUUUGCUAUUAGGGAAGUUCUGAUAAGAUAGACAUCUAAUCGCCUUCAAGAGUUGCAAGCUAAAUGACAUAGAGAGACGCUACAUGGUACAAGAAAAUGAUAUGACUGUCAUUGUCUAUUACUUGCACACCUGAAGACACUAUCUUCUAGGGUCUCACUUCAUAGUGAAAACCGACAAUGUUGUCAUUAGUUACUUCUAAACACAGAAAAGUCCUAAGUAAGCUAGGUGGCAAGACUUUCUGGUUGAGUUUGACGAUGCGCUGGAGUAUAAGACAAAAAGUACUAAUCAUGUGAAUGACGCCCUAAGCCGUAAUGUAGAGCUAGCAUUCAUGACGAGCCAGCCCCAAUGAGACAUAAUAGAUCUUCUAAGAGAGGGGUUGCAACAUGAUCUAGUGGCUAAGAGCCUUAUUACCUUGGCCCAUGAGGGAAAAACUAAGUGUUUUUAGGUAGAGGACGACCUACUCUACACUAAGGGGAGACUACUCUACGUGCUUAAGUGGGGGAACAUAAGGUAGAACUUGAUUAAGGAGUGCCAUGACACCAAGUGGGUUGGGCACCUUGGGCAACGACGCAUAAAGAGCACUACUCGAGUCAGCUUACUACUGAUCUUAGAUACAAGAUGAAGUUGAGGCAUAUGUGAGGACUUGUCUUGUGUGCUAACAAGACAAGGUAAAACAACAACAACCUAGAGGCUUGUUGGAGCCACUACCUAUAGCAGAGCGUCCAUGGGAGAGCAUCACCAUGGACUUCAUCAUCGGGCUACCUAAGUUGGAGGGCUAUGGCUCGAUCAUAGUGGUAGUGGAUAUGUUCUCUAAGUAUGUGACCUUCAUAGUAGCCUCUACUGACUGUACUGCAAAGGAGACAGCAAGGCUAUUCUUGAAACACAUGGUCAAAUACUGGGGGUCGCCUAAUUACAUCAUCAGUGAUCGCGAUUUGCAUUUCACUAGGAAGUUUUGGACAAAGCUCUUUAAGCUUAUGGGUUUGAAGCUUCACUUCUUCACAAGCUUUUCACCCGUAAACAGAUAGGCAGAUUGAGAGGGUGAACGCCUUAUUAGAGUUAUACUUAUCCUUCAUGAGUGUCAACCAAAAGGAAUGGACUAAGUUGCUAGAUGUAAUCCAAUUUUCAUACAACUUGCAAAGAAGUGAGACAACCAACAAGAGCCCGUUCAAGCUAGCCAUAGGGCAGCAACCAUUGACUCCUCACACACUACCAAUAGGCUAUACGAAGAGAAGUUCAGCGGCUUUGAAGUUCACUAAGGGGUGACACGAGCCAACUGACAUAAUAGCUCAUACUUGGAUAGGGCCGCUAGAAAGAUGAAGAAGUGGGCUGACAAAAAGCGACAUCACACUGAGUACAAGGUCGGAGACAUGGUCUUUGUCAAGCUCCUUCCUAAAAAAUUCAAGUCACUAAGGCCGGUACAUAAAGGCCUUAUGAUGAGGUAUAAAGGACAUUUCCCCAUACUUGGAAAGGUCGGCAAGGUGUCCUAUAGAGUUGAGUUACCACCGAGGUUGAAGAUUCAUAUCGUCUUCCACGUAAGUUACAUAAAAUCAUAUCACGAAGACAAGAAUUAUCCAAGCCAAGGGAUGUCCUAGAUGACACCUACAUCGAUUAUGACCUUCUAUGACAAGGAAGUAGAACACAUCAUUGCAGGCUGAGUCAUCAAGAGAUGAGGCGUGCCUCCUGCUACGGAGUACUUGGUGAAAUGGAAGGGACUACCAGAGAACGAGACUAGCUGGGAGCCAAUAGAUGCACUAUGGCAAUUUCAGGAGCACAUUAAGUGGUUCUAGGUGGAAGGUGCGACAAGGACGUUUACGGUUUAGGUAGGGGAGAGUGUCAUAGAAUGCUUCAAAUGAGCCUCCCCAGGGGUUUAUAUAGAGCCUAAGAAGCUUUUGGAGACUCCUACACUUAGUCAUUGGUGGGAAAAUGGUGGAAGGUUCUAAAGAUGUCUAAAGAUAUCCACACAUCUCUACACUAUGGUGGAAGGUAUGAGAGAAGUCCAAGGCUUUCUAGAAAAUUCUAGAGAUCUCUUGUAUAUUCUUGUACAUAGGCUUGUACAUAGAAUUGUGUAGGAAGUUUUAGAUUAUUCUUGAGUUGUAAGGAACCCUCCAAGAUUCCAAAGAGUUUCAUUGGUGCCUAUAAAUAGGUGAAGGCCUCAUUUGGCCAAGGCACCAAGCAAGUGAGUUCCAAAGCACUUGUAAAGCUUCUUUUAAGUAAUAAAAGCUUCCAUCCUUCAAGAUUUAUCUACUACGCCUUAUAAAGCUUUCAAGUUGUGAGCAUCUUAACCUAGCAAGCUGAGCAUUGGGAGCAAAACUGACUUAGCAAGAUCAAGGGUCUUGACUUGUCUAAGUGUCGCACGAGCUUAGGAAAAGACUAAGUUCAUGACACCUAGGACUAGUAGCAUGCACCCUAAGUAAUCCAAGGCUAGAAAUGAAAUGAUACAAGGAUUCCCAACACUUGACUUAAUUCCUUAGAAAUUGAAACUCAAUAAAAAACAUUAGUGUCAUUAACCUCAUUUUUUUUAUUACCAAUACUUAAUUAGGGGAAACCUUGAGCUAACAACCUCCUCAUUUUUUAUGAUGAUAAAACUGUACCAUCUAAAGAAAGCUUUCCUUAAUGUAUGCAUAUUAUAAGCAAUUUAAACAUUCAUCAUAAAAGAUGGAAAACAUAAACUCAAAUGGAGACAUGGAUAUAUAGAUAUAAGAGACAUCAUAAAGGUUGCAACAUGAUCGUAUAUCCGAAAUAGCAUCCAAAAGCAUGUCAUCCAAAAAAAAAUCAACCAUAAUAACCAUGUUCAAAUUGUCCCAAAAAGGAAAAAAAUAUAUAUAUGAAACAAAAAGUAUUAAAUAGUUUACUAAAUGUUAUGCCCUAGAUACCUAAAGAUAUCUCCCCCUUAGGCAACAUCGAAACAAUGAGGGAACUAUAUGGCUCAAGGUUGAGGUGGUGGAAACAAGGAACAUAGGACAGCUAUUGAAGAAGCUAAAAUUCUUCAUAAAUGAUUGAAUUUUAUUUCACCAUGAGAAACAAUACAAAGAGGGAUUUUUUUUUUUUUUUUUUUUUUUUUAUCAAGGGGAAGACCCCUUUCUCUUUACUACUUAUCCCUUUUAAUAAAAAUUCUUCCACAUUUUUCCACUUUAUUUUGCCAACAUUCUUUCAACCCCUUUUGCACAAAAAUGCCAAAGAUAGUAUUAGGAUAACCUUUUACAACCAUUGCUAACUUUUGACACAAGUUGCUAAAAAUUGUUGAAGAUUUGCUUUUAAUGUCAGGUAGGAUAGCAGAUUGGUUCUAAUUGAAGGUCAUUUCUUGUGGAGGACCUUACUUAUAAGUGAGAUGAUUGUUCCUAUCUUCAUGGUUUUAUGUUGUAUAGUUAUAGAGACUUUUUAGAGGCUAUCAGCUUUAGAGCAAAUUUAUGUUGUUUGUUAGGGAUUAAGUAUUUUAUUCAAAUUGGGUGAAUGGUACUACCUCUUUACUUGAGAUGGCUUUGAGAUUGGGUGGUUGAAUAGUAGUACUUUGGAAUGGUCUAGUUUUUGUUCGCUUUAGCUAUCAUUUUCUUAUGCUGUGUCUAUAGACGAGUGGAGACGUCAUUUGGAAAUUGGUCAAAUUGCCCGUGAAAUUGAUCAAAUUGUCAAGUUGUCAUCCUAAAAUUGACUAAACCUAGUUUGUAAAAAUGAGAAACGACCGUCACUAGCGACUAACAUCUUCUCAAGCUAAGUAUUAAUAGAUCCAAUCUGAGCAUAAAGGGCAUCUUAAUGUUGCAGGUUCAAUGCUCAUGAAGCAUAAUAUUUUGGAUACUUGGUGUGAGACACCUCAGCAUAAGUCUAAUCCAUAAGGAUAGUCUCCUCAGGAGGUUGAGAUGUGGGCAAUUGAAUGGUGGCAUCCAUGCCCUUGGUUUGCAUCUCCUGUUGAACAUCCUCACCCCCUAAUCCUUUAUGGUCACCCUCAGUCUCUAUCUAUAGAAUCUCUGCCUCUUACUCAACCCGGUCUUCAUUCAUAGCAGGACCCUUUCUUUUUCUUUCCAAUGAUCCAUUAGGCAAUUUCUCAAACAGCAUUCGGUCUGGAUUUUACGUUAUAGGUAUCAUAGGAUGAGGCCUGAAUGUUUUUUUCUCUUCUUAUGUCCACAUUGAAUGCUUUCAGGAUUUUUGUGAUCAGUCUUCUUCCGUUGGCCACUACUUUAGAAUUGCUUUUACAACAGUUUUUCAUGUGUUGAAAGAUGAUAAGGAAACCUUAGAAUGGAUCGGAGUCAAUAGAAAAUGCUACAUAAUAGGACACCUUGUCUCUAUGUCCACCCUUAGGUAGAAAAAUAUGUUUGAUCAUGUGGUGGUGCACCCUAGAGAUAAUGCUCAAGGCAUGGGCAUGGAGCUUUGAAGUCACUGUGUCGAUGGGUAAGUUACAUAUCCUCUAGAAAGCCCUACCUAGGUUAAAACUAGACACUAUAGGCCAUCCCUUCGUCUCAAAUAAACAAAGUCCCCCACAAAGGAUCUCCAAAAUAUCACAAAGCAUAUCAAUAUUUAGUUUAAUUCAACUCCUCUAACAAAUGUGCUAAUUGGCCUUCAUAUAUUUUAGGUUCAAGUAAAAUACCUGAACAAGGUUGGGGUAUGUAGGCUCUCUUGAUGAGAUGGUAUUGGUGAGUAUUUUUUUUUCUUCAAUACAAAACUAUUACAACACUUGGUUUUUUUUUUUUCUAAAAAAAAAAGAAAAAUAAAAAUAGUUUUAUAUUAUACUUAGUUUCAAGAAAAAUAAUAAUCAAAGCAAAAUGAAAAAAAAAUUCUCAUAUUGGUUUCUCGUGAAAAAUAUAAAAGCAAAUAAAAUACAAUUAAAAUUAAUUAAAAUCUUAUGUAUUUUUAAAUUAUUAAUUUUUAUAUAAAAAAUGAAAAAUAGUAUAAUGAAUUUAGAAGAAUAUAUAAAAAUAAUGUAUUAACUUUAAAUCUUUUUUUCUUUAUAUAUAUAUUUUCCCUUCAAUUUUCUAAUACCAACACAUAAUAAGGUUAAUGUCUUCUAGCCAACCAAUUGUAAGUCAAUUUUCAUAGAGCUUUUUUUUUUUUUUUUUUUUACAUGCCACCAAGUAGUUAUAUAAGCAUUUUUGCAUGUUAUUGUUAUCCAACAUACAAUAACUAUAACAUCCAAUUAUUAUGAACAUGAACAAUAAAAUUAGAUGCAACUAACUAUUUAGUGUAUAACAAGAAGUUGGUGAAGUAAUUCAUCCUAACAUGAUUCAACAAUUUUUGUUUAUUUUUCAAGAUUAAUUAUAACAUACCCAUUCUAUUAAAGUUGUUGAGAUAUUUGAGCAAAACUAAAAAUCAACAUUAAUUCAUUUUAUACCCACAAGAGAAAUAAGAUUUGUUUUUUUGUUUGAUAAUAAAGUAGUUGUAGUUAUUAAUGAUAAUUUUGAUCCUAAUUUAAUAGGUAUCCAAAAAAAAAGGAAAAAUGCAAGUAAACCAAUUCUUAUCUAACACAAUUAUUACCACCUUAAAAUCCUGAGGGGUAGCUCAGUUGAUCAGUUCGAGUCCCUUUAGGACCAUGAAAAGCUUACCCGAUGGUUCACCUUAAGAAAAGCAAAGCAUUUAUAUAAUUCAACUGGUAGUUGAUAAGUCUUAGAAAGGGUUUUGCCAUCAUUGGCUUCUCAGUAAAGGGCAAAUUUGGGUUGUGGCUGACAAUUAUUGAAUUUGUGAAGAAAUAUGUGAAGAAAGGAAACAAAAAGAGUUGAGGACAGAAUUCUUCAAUUAAAAAAUGGUUAGCCCAUGAACCCAUUCUUCAAACAGUAAGCCAAUGAGCCAAUGAGCCAAAAAGAAAGAAGAACAGCUGGUUUCAUCUUUUUAUCUUAAUGACUUUGACAACCCAUCUUUCUUUUAAAUACUUGUGACUUUGGAAUAUAAUUAAAAUGAAACUUUGGAAUGCCCACAUCUGAUUCACGGCCUUUUUACCUGUUUUCUUGUUUAACAUUUUUUUAAAUAUUAUAACAGAUGGAAAAACAUGAUUCUAACAGGCUGGAAAAUAGUGGAAGUUGGAACACCAACCAUAACCAAACUAUACCUUCCAUCUUUCUCCAACACUCGGAAUUAUUGAUACAAGUUGGUGGUUUUAUGAUUGUUUCUAUUGAGGGGACCCCUCUCCAUUUCCAAUUUCAAUGGAAAGGUUCUUCUUUCCCUACUUUUUUUUUUUGUUUUUCAAAUUCUUGUAGUUUUGUCUGUCUCUCUCAACAAAGCAAACUGCAAUCACUAAUUCAAAGAAAAGGAAUCCUAAAUGAAAAGAAAAGAAAGGAAAGGAAUGGUAAUUUAGGCUAUGAUGAUGCUCCUAUAUAAUGGCUGUAAGUCAAUAACAACACACUGGACCCGCCUCCUAUCUCAAAAGAUCACAAACCCAAAUAUCAUAUACUUCCAAAUUUCAAUUUGGUUCCCUGUUUAUAUCACAAUCUGUCCUAUAUCCUCUUAAUACAUCUAAAAUCUCUCUAUAUCAUAAAAAUAAUGAUGGAAAAAAAAAUUAAAAAGAAAGAAGGAAAAAAUGACAAAAAAAAAAAAACCUUGGUGCUGCUAUGGGUCCAUAGGAAUUGGCAGGACUGCACUUCUGGAUCCCCUUCCAUGGCCAAAAGAAAAGAAUGAUCUUCGGAAUCUGCUGCUGCAACCUUCACUAGGGCUGAAGUCACUGACAGGCCUGUUCUGUUGCAAAAUCUCUUGAAUUGCUAAAUACAGCUGCCUGUCGUUGGAUGAGUCCAUUGAAAAAGACCUCCUGAUGGGUUGGAUUGAGAACUGAUCAUCUUUGCCUCUAGUGUCAAUGCACUCAUCACCCAUGCUUGCAACAUGAUGAAACUUCCUUGCCUUUUUAGGCACAAUUCUCUGCUCUAGCUUCCUAGGUGAUGGACUAAUUGAUGGCGCAGAUAACUCUCUGGAAUUCAGUCUUUCUGGUGGCCUAAGCAGUGAUGAAUCAGCAGAACUAUCAUUUCCCAAUUCAAUUACUACAAAAUCUUCAUCCCCUCCUAUGUAAUUAUUGGCGUAGGGGCUUGGAUCUUGGGGGGAAGAGCUAGGAGCAAUGAUUUGGUGAACAGGAAACCGGGGUGUGGUUGAAAUGCUUGUUCUGCAAAGUGGGCAAUUAGCAUUGCUUUGAAGCCACACGUCUAUGCAAUCUAUAUGAAAUAUGUGACUGCAGUUUGGUAUGAUUCUUAGCUUCUCUUCUUCUUGAAACUCAUUCAAGCAAACCGCACACUCGCAAUGGCUUCUUUCUCCAAACUCUCUGCCACCUCCUUUCCUGAACUGGAAUAUUGGGAUUGAUCUGAUGACUGACUCGUCCAGGCCUCGACUCUCGAUUGCUGGGGAGUACACCAUUAAAGGGUCUUCCGGGUGCCGACUCCUUGAGAAAGAAAAUCGUCUCAGCAGAUCAAUCCGGUGCCAAUUGAGGCAGCAUUUGAUUACAAAGAUGUAGUAGCUCACCAGCAAGAAAGCAGUGGCCAGGAUUCCUAUUACGGCAAUGGCUAUAAUGGGGAAACUGGUGUCCGAGGAAUGAGAGGGAGAAGGAAGCACUGAGCUCGCCUGGCUUUUGAUGGGAGAAAAGGCUUGUGAUCCAUGGAUGGAGGAGUCUGUGCUCACAAGAUCCAUGAGAGAGGCUAUGAAAAACAUUUAGAAAUGAGUCUAUUCGGAUCUUCAAUUCACAGAAACAUGCAAAUGCUAGAAUAAAAUCGACAGACACUCAGAUAUAGACCCUACAGUUGUAAUGCAGCAUACCAUAAAUGUGAUUGAGUGAGUGAGGCUGAAACAGCAAAUGGGUCACUUCAAGAUCUCAACAAGACAGAAAACCCAUGUUGAAUUCACCAGGAGAGUAUUGAAAAGGGAAAAAUUAAGGACAUAUAGCUGUAUUGAAAGUUGAAACAAAUGCAGAAACAUAGAGAAGAGAGAGAGAGGGAGAAAACCCAGGAGGGUUGAAUGAGAGCGCUGCUGGGGAAGACAUCAAAACGCUUCAAAUUCAAUGAGAAUCUGUUGGGGACCUCUUUAAGAGGACUGCACAAAGCCUGAGCGUAGGGUACGUGGUUGGUUGGUGAAUUUCUCGGCUUCCAAAAGAGAAAUUUGGUGAGAAAAUUUUCAAGUCUCUUGAUUAUAGUAACGUAGCGUUUAUUUUAAUUUUAUGUAACCGAAACUAAUGGGCUGGUUCAAAAAAAUAAAAAAUAAAAAAAGGAACUUUCUAGGAUAGGCCAGCAGUCCACCGUUGGUCAUGUGGUUUCUUUUGCAUGUCCACAUCUUCCAACUAGUGGAGGUCCCUGUCACAACAGUAAGAAAACACCCAAUUGAAUAAAAGUAUGAACUUUUGGCUCCCAAUAUUACUUAUGCCCUCAUUCAAUACCUCAAAUAAAGCAGAGAUUUUGUGUCCCAACUUUUAUGAUUUCAUUUCAUCUUACUUCAAAUGCUAAUGACAAAAGUCCAAGUAUAUUCUGUAAUCACCCACACCCCAAUAGUUUUGAAUCACACUUGAAAUAGUUCCCAUGCUUUCUUAAUAAUUUAGAUAAUUAUUUACAGAAAAAAAAAUUCAGAACAGGAUGAUAAUCAUUUUGUGAUAGCAUGGAAGAAACUUUACUAGCCACUUUGGCCCCAUGAAGUUGAGUACUUGAUGCCAAUUAAUGGCAGGGUGGAAAAUAGAGAAAAGGGAUCAUAGUCAAAUCUAGAGUACAAGGCAUUGAAUCUUUGUUAAUAAUUAACAAAUGGGUAAAGCAUGGGUCACAGGGUCUACAGUUUGGAUUGCAAAAACCUCAGGCUUCUAUAAAAAGCUCAUCCAUUAUCAAUCAUCAAUCUGAAAGCCAGAAAGUCCAAGGCACAUGCAACCCACGACAGGGGUAAGAUUUCUGCAUCAUGUCCCUGAGUUGCAUUCACAUCAUAUGUUUCCCUCCGGGCCGUUCCAAUUUGAAAUCUCAUGGAAAUCUUCAAGAGCAAGGCUACAGAGUUUAAGAUAAUACUAGGGGUGGGUCCUGAUGGGAAAAGAGGUAGUGUAGGAUAGUCAAUAAAGGGCAUGUGUCUCUGGUGUGAAGUCAAAUCCAGUGUACCAUCCUCAAUGGAAAAUUUAGAAAUAGAACCGACACUCUACAGACUGCCGUGUUGACAGAUUAGAGAAAGACAAACCCACUUACACUUGCCUCAAAACCCAGUCCUGCCAUUUCAAAGGCAAAAAAAAAGGGUUUCUUUUUAUAGUCAAAGGUUGAGGCCUGGCCUGGCCUAGCAAAGAAACUUCACCUACUCUUUUCUUAUUUUUCAAAUUAAGGCCAUUCAACUUUUCCUGUUUGCAGGCUUGCUGCCAUAUCUUACUCCAAAAAAGGUGAAAACCCAAAAGAAAAAGAGUGUUUGCUUCAAUGGAAAACUCAUGUUUAAUAAAUUCACCGCACGAGUUUUGUUCCAGCUUUUCCUAUGAAAGCUGUGAUGCGUUUGGUAUGAAGUUGAUUUUGUUCCUAAAAAUUUUGAUCUUGGCGUGGAAGGCAACUUUUUCCUUUUCCCCCUUUUUCUUUUUGAAAAGUUCGGCAUUAGUUACCAAAUGUCCUUUUACUUGCAUGUAGGACAGCGGAAGCAUUACACAUCGCAGCAAAAUCCCAUUUACCCGAAUUUUCCACUAACUCUUUUUAUUUUUUACCAUCAUUUUUUAAUAGAAGUGAUGCACUCUUCAAAUUACAUGAAGCUUUUAAGAAGGUAAUAACCCGUUUCAAAGCGAACUUAACCUACAGAGUAUGUUUUAAAAAUAUUUAGGUAUUUGAUAAAAUUUAAAAAAUAUUUUUUAAAAUCUUUAAAAUGAUUUGUAAUAUUGAAAAUUUAUUUAUACUUUUUUUAAUAAAAAAACAUUUUAUAGGUAAUUUUUCUAAAAUACUUUUAGAGAAAAUGUCUUCCCUUCACUAUAAAUAUUAUAUACUAUCAAAUACACUUUAAAAAUCUGUUUAACAAUAAUUUUAUAAAGUGUUUUUAAUUUUAAAAAUAUUUUUAAAAACAAAUUAAAUUUUUGAUAAAAUUUAAAAAAUCUUUUUAAAAAUUUUGAAAAAUAUCUCGUAAUAUUAAAAAAUAUAUAUAUUUAUAAUGUUUUUUAUAUAAAUACUCAAAAUUCAUUUAAUAGUGAUUUUAGGAAAUGUUUUUAAUAUUUCUAAUACUUGAAAAUUUUUUAUCAUUUAAGUAUUAAAAAUAUUAAAAACACUUUAUAAAAUCACUUUCAAAUGGACUCUUAAUGAUUUUACUAAAAACACUUUUCAUAGAAAACAUUUAUAAAAAAUAAUUAUGAAAUACACUCUAAAUUAAGUAAAAGUUGUUUUUAACAUUACCACUAUUUAUUAAUAGUGCAUUUGUUUAAAAUAUUUAUAUGAAAAAUUCAUUAGGGUGGGAUAUAAAUAUAGAAGUGUUUUUCUUUAUAUAUUUUUUAUAAUAAAAAAUGAUUUUUGAAAUUAUAAAAUUUGAAUUUAAGAAUCAUUUGAUAAUAAUUUUUGUUAAAGCACCUUUAAUACGUGGUGCUUCUAUUGAUAGCGCUUUCAUUUCUAUGAAUGGCUAUAAAUUAUAUUUGAAUAAAUUUUUUAUAAUGUAUUAUAUAAUAAAAAAAAAGUCAUUUUUAAAAAAAUUAUACAUUAAAUGAUUAUUCAAAUAGUAUUUCCUAAAUUUUAUUAAACAUUUUUUUCAAAAAAAAAAAAAAAGUUUUCAAAUACUAGAAAACGUUUUUAAUCUCUCACACGAUCACAUCCAAACAAGUCCUAAUGCUACUCCUAGAAACACUCCAAAACAAAAGUCUUCCUCUAUUAAUGUUCAUAAAAUCCACAUAUAUUCUUCCAUCGUUUUUUCAAAAUUCAAAAUCAUUUCUAAAACAUCAAAUCAUGUUCUUUGGAUUGGCUGACUUGUUUUUUGAAAAUAGAAGGCUCAUUAUUGACGUCCGUUGACUUCAUAACCCAGUCUUGAUCUCUUGAUGGAGGGCAUAAAUGUAAAUUGGACGAAACCCUAGGGUGCGCUAGAGUGUAGAGGAUGAAAGGUUGGAAAAAGGAUGAGGUGGGGGUGUAAUAAAGAGGAGGGUUGGGAGAAUGGGACAUGUGUAGGUGAAGCAUUAAAUUCAAGACUAUGCUUACCAACAACAUAUAAAUAAAUAAAUAAAUAAAUAUAGGAACAGCACAUGGGGUGAGUAGGAGACAUCAGAAGAUGUGAACAACCCCUUGUCAGUCCAAUUUGCGUCUUUUAUCUACUCUAUUAUCUAUAUCGAUUUUCGUAUUUAUUUAUUUAUUUAUUUAUUUUUACCAUUUGAUUUUGCAUGGAUGUCGAAGGGUUUAUUGGCUGCCACGUGUAGGGUUAUGGUCAAGAUCACGUGGGGUGCCUACAUGGGAGUCACGUGAGUGCAUGAGGCAGGCUUGAAUUGCAGGAGGAGCAGGAGCAGAGCAGUGGCUGUUGUCUUAAGACUUUGCUCUCUUGGUGGAACUGCAGCUUAAGCAGCAUCCACGUGUUGUCACGUGCAAUGCGAGCCAUCCACACCACCAGUUUCUUUUUAGUGAUUUUCUAAAGUCAGUUAAGGUUGCAGUCAAUACCUUCAAAUGUUGACAGAGUUAGGGAUCUUUGUUAAAUGGAUUUUAUUAAGAUAUUAGUAAGUUAAUUAAUUGAGGGUCAACAUAACAGAUGGGUCGGGUUGGGUUGAAUCUGAAUUUAAAACGAUUUAAUUUAUGUUUAAUCAAAUUUAACAUUUAACUCGAAGCACUCAACUUAAGUUUAAUUGAAUCUUAGUUUUCAAAACAUUAUUUAAAUUUGGGUCAUUUGGAUUAAAGUCAAAUGGGUUAGAUUAAUCGGGUUAUAUGGUUCAAAAUCCACUUACCUUAUUUUUUAUACAUUAAUAUUAAAAUUUAAAUAAAAAAUAUUAGAAGAAAUUUCAAACUUGGGAUUAGUUGAUUGUAGCCAUGCAUUUGGAUGUUGGUAUUCUUGUUUCUUGUCUUGUUUCCAAAUACCCUUUCAAAUCGCUUUGUUAUUCAAUAGCAUCCUCCCGAUCAUUUAAAAAUUUAAAGAGCAUUGGUAUGAUGGAGGAAUUCAGAAAUUUUAGUUGAAUAAGUAAAAUUUUUCUCUCAUAAAACCAAAUAGCCUCUAUAGCUCAGUGGUAGAGCGUCAGUCUUGUAAACUGAAGGUCUGUAGUUCGAUCCUGCAUGGAGGCAACUUUUUAUAUUUCAUGAUCCAUUAUGCUCUAGUGAUUUAGUUUUCAUUAUAAUUUUAGAUUAAAAAAUUACAUCAACAUUUGAUAAGUUGGUUAUGACUUUGAUAUAAGGAUGAAACUAUCAAUAAUAUAUAUAAAUAUUUUGACACAAAAUAUCUAAUAUAUUAAAAAAUUAAAAAAAAACUCUAAAAAACAUUAUAAAAUUAUAUAUAUAAUUUAUCAUAUUUAAUAAUAAUAUCUUCUACCCUAAUAAAAAAUAUAAAUUUUAUAAGCAUACAUUUAUUAUUACAUUGUAUUAUAUAUUAUUUUACAAGAAUAUUAUGAUAACAUGUCUAAUUUUAAAAUAUAUUUAAUAUUAAAAUUAUCAUCAAUUUUAAUUUAAAUGUAUUUAAUGAUAUCAAAUAAUAUAUAUAUAUAUAAUUUUUUAAUAUUUAUAUAUUUUUAUAUUUAAUAAAUAUAUAAAUUAUGUAAAAAAAAAAGACCUAUUAAGAAGAUUAUGUUUUUAUAUUUGGAUCAAAAUUAAGUUUUUCCGAUAAAAUAUAUGAAACUAUUGAUAAAUUAUUGAUUGAAACGUGAAAAAAAAAAUUCAAAAAAUAGAUGAGAUAUUAGUAAAAUAUCCGAAAAUAUUGAUUGAUGAAUAUAUCAUUUCAAAUUUUGCAUCAACAUCCACAUAUGUUGGAUAUAUUGGCCAAAUAUAUUUAAACCUUGUUUCCAUGAGAAGUCUUUCCUUCAACAAUUUCAAAAGGUUAAUGAGGUGGUUUCCAAGAGAUGUGUGUAGGGGUCUCCAACGGGCGGGCCGGGCCAGCGGGCUUUUUGAAAUAAGCCAAAAUGGCUUUCAAAAAAGGGAAGGGAGAGGAUUUAAACCCCUUCCUUCAUGCUUAAAUUUCAAGGUUCUAACCAAUUGAACUACAUUCCUUUAAUGUUUAUUAAUUGAGUUAGUUAUAUAUAUAUAUAAAAAUAAAGUAUAUUAUUUUUUAAAGGGGCGGGCCUACGGGCUGGGCCGGGCCGAAAGCGGGCCACGGGCCACGGGCUUUUUGGAGACCCUUGGAUGUGUGCAAUCACAUUUGGUAUUAUAGGUGACAAAGUUUGAUAAAUGAGUAAUUAUUAGGUUAACUUAUAAAAUCCGAAUUUGAUUUAAAUUGAUUCAUUUAAUAAUCCCAUUUAUUUACCCAAUUAAAACUUUAAAUUAUUUAACUUAUAUUUAAUUUAAUUAAAAUUUGUUUUUAAAUAAAUAGAUCAAUUAAAACAUAAACAUAUUUGAUUGAAACAUUAAUAAUAUAGAUUUAAAUAAGACCUAAUUCAACCUAACGAUCAAAUAGAAAUAUCUAAUUAUUAAAUAAAUUAAACAUGUUACUUGCUUAAUAAUUAUGUGACAUUUGAAUUUAUGCUUUUGAUAUAAUUAUUAUUUAUAUCAGGUUUAUAUAAUGAAAUAUCUAGACUUUGACACCAGUCAACAUUGUCCACCAAUACAGAUUGCAACUCUUAUAUGCUACAUCACAUCAUGUUGAAGGAAGAGGAUGACGUUCAUUGGCAGCAGAGCCUCCAAUCAUAAGGAGCUUGAGCAAAUUCAAUCUCAACACUGAAAUUCACUAGAAAAAAAGUUUAUUAUUGAUACUUCAUUUGUGUAAAAGCAUUAUAUUUCUUGCAUCAAUCGUAAAGCAUGACAUUCCAGUAGGUACGGAAGAGAAAAUUUGUUAUGAAUUGAAAAAUCUGUCAAGCUUAAUUUGGAGGGCCCAAAAUUGACACGUUUAAGAGCUCUAUCAUUAGCCCAAUGAUAAGAGUCCAUUUCUUGAGUUUCAAGGAAGGCCCAAGUUUAACUUAGAGGGCCCAAUCUUGGUACCUUCUAAAAGGUGCAAACUUUGGCCCAAUUAUAAAAGCUUAUCCUUGCUUCCUAAGCAUCAAUGAUAUAUUUGAUCGAAGUAUUCACAUAACUAUCACGAAAUGAAAUGAAAUGAAAAUGUAUAAGUAAAUGAUGAUUUUGAGUUAUUUACUGACAAUAAAGAAUUAGGUGGUGUUUGUUUUUUUUUUUUUGGCUUUUUACUAAAAGCAAUUUGUUUUCAGAAUUUAGGUUAUUUAUUUUUCUAUUUUUUCAUGACUUAUUAUAAACUUUUUACUAAAUAAGAAAAUCCAAAAUAUAUAGUUUUUUCUAAAUAGAAAAAAUAACAUAUUGGUUUUCUUUUUUUUUUACUUUUUAAUAUUUAAUAGAAAUAAAAUAUUAUAAAAACAAACAACCUAAUAUUUAACACUAUUAAGUAUUAAGGUUUUAUUUAGAAUUAAGUAAAAAAACAAACACUACCUUAAAAUGAAAAGUAUGUAUAAUGACCUUAUACAAAAAAAGUCUCAUUAUUUUCUUCCAAAGAACUCAUACUUUUGUUUUUCAACUAUUACUUUGUUUUUAUUUUUUAAAUAAUAUUUCAAGUUUUUUUUAAUAAUACCUUUCUCUUUAUUAGAUAAUUUUAAUGACUUUAAAAGUAUUUUAAUAUAUUAAUUUAUUAUAUAAUUUUAAUGAUUUAAAAAUAUUUAAAUGUUGAAAUAUUUAUUUUCAAGUCUAAUUUUAAUUAUUUAUUUUUUGAAGUAUUUAAAUAUAUAAUAAAUGUGGGAUUAUGUAAAUCUAGUUGUAAUUAUUUAUUUCAUUCUAUUCAUGUUUUUAGUUGAAUUUGCUCAAAAUUUACACCUCUUUAUUUAAAGAUCAUGGAUUAGUUAGGUGUCUUGAGAUUUUUUUUCUCUCAAGACACUACUUGUUACACUAGAAAAUAAUUUGUGGCUAUAUUUUUUAGGCAAAAAGAAUUAUAUGUUAAAACUUCCUUUAUUGACUAGUUUAUCAUAGGGUGUAGAGGAAAGUUUGUGAUGUCUUUUUAUGUCAACUUUGGGAGAAAAAUAUCACUUUAGCAUUUUCCUUAGAAAAUUUUCAUACAUAAUUGAUUUUGGAACUAUGGAGGAGCAUAAGUAGGGAUAGAUAAUUCGAUUUUGGAAAAAUUAUAAUAGCUUUUCAACUUGGUGUUAAUGAUAUAUUGUUUAUUUCUUAUUUUUUUUCCAUUUUAAUAUAUAAUUGGGGAUUUUAAACUUGUAGAACAAGGCUUUUUCAAUUGAAUUGACACGUACAUAUGAAAGUUCUCUUUGGUUGCUAAUCACAUUUUUUUUUCUUUUGCUUUUUGUUUUUAUCAUAAUGAAUAUUGAACUCGAAAUUCAGUUUUUAAAAUCUUAUGAUGUUUUAAAGUUUAUAAAUAUUAUUGAUUUUUAUAAAUGAUGUUAUUCAUAUCUUGGUAAAGACAAUAUUUUCAUAUCGGUCAAGAUGAUUAAUAACAUAUAAGUUCAUAAAGAAAAACCUAUUGAUUAAUGGAUAUUUAAUGAUUUUUAUUAGGAAUGUUUUUUAAUUAGUUUCAAUACUCAUCUUUUAGAGCAUACAUAUAGGGUUUUAGAUGCUACAUUGGUUUUCAGCUUGUGAUUUAAAUUAUUGAAGCAAAAAAUGAGGGUUUUGCUUUAUGGAACUAUCUAAAGGGAGGUGAAUUAGGCGGUCUUCCUUUUUAAAAUCCAAAAAUUAGAUUUUUAAUACUUAUAUUAGUUAUACAUGUGUUCAAUAAUUAAAACAAAGAACAAGUCCAUAAUUUACAUGUGAUGUGCAUGGAAAAACACCUACAAAUUCUCUCAAAUACUUUACAAAUGAAAAAAAAAUCAAGGAUCGAUCAAUCACAGAGCAACUUCACUAAAUAUGAAAACAUGACUAUACAAUUUUACUUGGAUGAGGUGCUACCUUCUCUUAAGGGUUUUUACACUAGCCAACAAUUACACUCACCUUCACUCUCACCAUGCACCUCUAUUGUGCUCCAUAGUAAACACUUUAAUGACUGUAGCAAGAUUGCGAUAAAUUACUGCGAUUAAUUUGAGAGUGUUGAUAAUGAACAAAAAAUAAUGAUAAUUAACUAGAGAGCAUAUGAUUUUGUAAAAACACCAAAAAGAGGCAUAGUUAUAAGUGAAAACUUUAAUGGAUUGGAUUGAAUAUAUAAUUGAAGUAUGAAUGAAAAAUUACCAAAACAAUGUUCAAAACCGUGCUAAUCAAAGCACAAUCACUUGAGUACUCUCAUGGGGCACUUGAAUGCUCCUUUUAAUCACCGUAAUGCUGAAAUUAAUAAUUUGUCUCAAAUUGUUUUUCCAAAACAUAAAGCAAAAUAUUAUAAAUUUAUAUAAUCAAACCCAAUUUCAUCUUAAAGCUAGCCUACUUAGUCUUAAUUCAUGUCCAAAAAUACUCAUACUUGUCAAAGAAUGAAUAUGGUAUAAACAAAUUCUUUAUUUUCAAUUAUAUUCAAUUAUUGAAAGAAUAAAUCGGUUUACAUACAUUUUGAACAAAGGUAUAUACACAUAGACUAAAUCAAGGAAAUGAGGAAAUCAAUCACAAUCAAAUCAAAAUCAAAUGAUAGGUUGAUAUCUAGGAGAAGGUUAAGUUAGAACCAACUCAUGUAUUCAAUAUUCCCCCUUAAGAUGGCAUAUGGAGAUCAUGAAUAUCAAACCUAGAAAGUAAGGGAUAUGAAAUAUCUAUACCAAGGGAUUUUAUGAAAUAUCAACCAAUUGUUGUUGUGAUUAAACAAAUUGAAUAAGAAUAAUUUCAUUUCGAAUCUUUUCAUAGAUCAAGUGACAAUCAAUUUCAACGUGUUUAUUCUGUUCAUGGAAAAUUAGAUUAAUAGCAAUGUAUAGAGUUGUAUUAUUGUCACAAUAUAGAUGCAUUGACCAAGGAUGAUGAACUCCAAAAUCUAUAAGUAAAUAUUGCAACCAAUGCAAGUAGUAAUCAUUAAAUAAUAUUUCACUUUUCUUCAUGAGUGUUAUAUCAUUGAUUGCUUUUUAGAUCUUCAAGAGAUUGAUAGGCCACCAAGUAAAAUACAAUACCCUAUAAUUGAACAUCAAGAUUAUGCACAAUAGGCAUGGAGGAAGGCAAAAGAAUUCCUUGACCUAGACGAUUUUUUAAAUAGUAUAACACUCAUGUACUUGUGAGAUAAUUGAGACUACAUUGGCUUGUCAAGAAUUUGAACAUAAUUAGCAAUAUUAAGCCCUAUCAUUAUGAGUCAAAGUAACUUCCCAAUCAAAUGCCUAUAAUAAGAAGCAUCCAACAAAGGUUCUCUAUCUAAUUUACUCAAUUCCAAAUUUUGUUUCCUAGGAGUUUUUAAAGUUACAUGUUCCAAGAAAACCAAAAUCUUUUAGUACUUCUAGAGCAUGUUUUCAAUAACUUAAAUAAAUCUCAUUCUUAAAAUAUGUCAUUUCAAUGAUGAUGAAGUACUUUAAUUUUCCAAUCUCUUAGUUAGUUUGAAAAUGCUAUAUAGGUUUUCCUUGACCACCUUAAUUCCUUUAAGAUCAUUCAUUGUAAUAAUUAUAUCAUAAAUGUAAACAAGAAUGAUUGUGAAAUAGUUAUUUGAGGCUUGAGCAAAUAAGAAGUAAUAUGUACGUCUUGGCUUGCUUGUAAACCAUAAACAUCAAUGUGAUAGAUAAUUUGGCAAACCAUCAACGUGAAGCUUGCUCAAGGCCAUAAAGGGAUUUUUUAACUUUGCAAAUCAUAUUUUUGGUUCUAGAUUUCCUACAAACUUGGUGGAAGCUGCAUGUAUACCUCUUUAUCUAAGUCUUCAUAAAGAAAAACAUCGUUGAUGUCAAGUUGGUGAAGAUGUCAAAUUCUAAUUAUACAAUAAUUAGGGGUGACAAUGUGUCUUAUCGUGUUGAGGUGAGAAAUAGUGAAAAUUUACUUAAUCCGACUAUGACCCGUUUGAUAAUCGUGUCAAAAUAACCUAACAUGAAUACAAUUAGUUUAUUUCAUGUAACAUGACCCUUUUAACAUGUUUAAUAAAUAUAUUAACUUGGAUUAUGUAUUAAUUGACAUGAAUAACUCAUUAACUUGAUUUCAACCCCUUAAACUCAUUAACACAAUUCCAACCCAAUAAACUCGUUAAUAUGAUUUAACUCAUUAAACUUGUUAAUAGGAUUAUAACCUCUUUAACCUAUUUAAAAUUUUAAAUUUAUAAAUAAUAAAAUACUUCUAGAAAGUUUAAUUUUUAAAAUUUGAACUAUAAUACAUGUAUGCACCAAUUUCAUGAAGUCCUGAAAAAUUAGCAAAAUUAUAGAAAAAUAAUAUAAACAAAAAUUUGUAUUAAAAUUAAUAAGUAUGGGCUACAAUAUUAGUCAUAGUACUGCUUAUUUCUGAAUGACUUUAUUAAAAAGCGAAGAAUACAUGUGUAGUUCUUAUGUGAUUUCUUAAACUUGUAAGGCGAUUUUAUAAAGUUUUUUUUUUCUUUGUGAAACCUCUUUUUCUAUGUGAAAUUGUUUUGCCGAUUUGAAAUCUUCAUUAAAGGAAGUUACUAUUAUUUAUAAUUGAAAUUAGAGAAUGAAAUGUGGAAUCCCCAUGAUUUAGUUGCUUAAUUCAAGGAAUUUGAUUAAUUGAUUUUGGUAACUUGUCUCAUAAAAUUUUCUAACAAGAAUAUUUAUUUUUAAUCUCUUUUAUUUCAAUUGGAAUAUUUGUUUCCUUUGUAAAUUUGUCAAUAGAAUAUUUAUUUAUUUAUUUAAUUCUCUUUUGACUACAAUGAGAAGAUUUGAUUUUGUUUGUAAGACUAAAUUUUAUAACCUUUCAAAUUUGGCCAAGUGACACCUUUUGAAUAUAUGUCACAUGUCAAAUGUGUGUGACUCAUUAGUUGUUGAACCUAAAUUUUCUUGAAUUAGAAAGCUAUACUUUUGAAGACUAAUUUAGUGAUAAUUUAAUUCAUUAAAUUUUUUUGGUGUCUACAGUAUAUUUAUAAUAUGAAAAGUAAAUUAAAAUUUUAAUUUUUUUACUUGUUUAUUAUUUUAUUUAUUAUUUAAUGAUAAAUAUUUUUAUUCUUUAUUGAAAUAUAUAAAAUUUUAAUUAAUAUUUUAAUUUUUUUAAUUUCUAUAUAUAAAAUAUAUAGAUUUAUAUGGUCUAAUUGAGUCAUUAAAAUAAAUAGGGUAAAUAACUCACACAUAAGUGAUGGAUCAUUCUAACAUGAUUAAAUUAACAAGUUAGAUGAAUUGAGUAGUCAAAUACAAACAUGAUUUGUUUAUUAAAUAAGUUAUAUGAAUUGAUACGAUUAUGACAUCAACUCAAUUAAACUUAACUCAAAUAAGCUUUGUCUUUUAUUUUAAGUUGUCUAGUUGUUCACACAAAUUUUCUCAAAAUAAAGAAAUUAUAUAUAAAAUUGUAAAUUUGAUUAUUUGAGGGGACCAUUUUCAAUACUCUUUUUUAAGUAAUCUGGUGUUUAAUUUUGAAUCAAAGGGGCUUUCAUUAACAAAUAAUAGACUGUAGUUUUCAUAUAAGAAGAAAUCUCAAGCCUUUUUUUCUUGAAGGAAUCUUUAAAUUUUCUUUGAUACUUUAAAAAAUCAAUCUUCUUUGAUUUUUUAAGAAAUCUUUGAAUUUUCUUAAAGUCUUCAAAAAAAAAAAAAAAAAAAAAACUGAGUUUAAGGAAUUUUUUUAAUAACUCUCCAAAUUUCUUUGAUAUUCCAAAGUGUCCUUUAGAAGGGGACAAAUCCUCUAUUUACAGGAUUGAGAGUUUUAUUUUAAUAUUAUCUCUUAAUUUUUAAGAAAUAACUCUCUUAUUUAUGAUAAUUACUAUUUAUUUUAUUUAUCAUAAUUAGUUGCCUAUGAUAAUUAUCAUAAUUAAUUUUUCUAGAGAUAAAUAAUUAUAUAUAUUUAAUUAAUCAUGAUAACUAUAAUAUUUAUUUAAUUUUUUAUUAAAUUAUUUUACAUAACAUAUCAAUAUAUAUUAUUAGUCAAUUAUUAACACCGAAAAUUAAUGAGUUGGCAUAAAAUUUAUCUCUCUAUAAUAGUAUCAAAGCGAGCCUUAAUAAUAACAUUGCUUAUAGUCAAUUUCACAUGCCAACUUUUUACUGGGCAUUGGCGAUUUCAAUUUUGAUAGUCCGGUUAGAAAAAGUAGGUAAAGAUUAUUUGAUGUGGUAGGUCAUUUCUUUCAUAAAGACGAUGGCGGUGAAUUCAUGAGACAGGUGAUAAAGGAGAGAUUCUUUCUUUUGGCUUUGGAAUUUUAAUGAGGUCCUCGAUCCUCAUCCAAAAUACACCUCUCCAAUUAUAAAAAUCUUAUUAAAAAAAAAAAGAUUUGACAUGUGCCUUUCGAACUGCUGGUUUUCUGUUCCAAAAAUGAGAAUGGUUUCAAGUGGAUGAAGGAAGGUGAAGAACCCUUGGUUUUGUUAAGCGAAAAGCCACAUGAUUAAAUAAACAUAAGGCGGCAAAGGCUGAAAAUUUAAAAUUAUACUAAGGAACCCACCCCACAGGGCGACUACACUUUUGGUGAAGCCACGAGAAUGAAAGAUAUCGAAGGUGACACCAAGACAUUAAGCAGCACCAAGGUUUCGAUAUAUUAUAAGAUGGGAUCUUAUGAAAGACGAUCUCUAAUCUCUCUCCAAUCUCUUCUUUAACCUUUUCUUACUUAAAUCCAUUUCCAUGGUAGGGCACAUGUCCAGCUGACCCUACCCCCUCACCUACCUAUACUGCUAUACCCUUUUGUAUAAUUUGAUAUGGAUUGGAAGCCACCCCAACAUCUUUCUAAUUGCUCGUAAAUGUUGAGGUGCCUUUCCAUUUUGAGGCUGCCCUAAUGUGUGGCUGAAGUACGUAGGAAAAAAAAAUUGUGAUACAUGCACUGACGAAUCAAAUCCCAAUGUCAAAUUAUUAGACUCACCUGGUUCUUAAAUUAUUGUGAAUGCCGCUGGCCAUGGAUAAAUGGAAUUAGUGCGUGGCUUAAUGAAAAUUUAUUUUGAAAGGGAUAUUAAUUUGAGAGAAUUUUGGCUGAUACUUGGAGUUGAACGUAAGCAUAUAUGACCUCAUUUCGGGUGUGAUAUUGUGCUUAUAACGAACCUUUCGUUCUUUCCAAUUCCAGUGGGUAUUAAAUAAUUAAAGAAUUCAUGGUUCGAAGGCGAAAGGUAGAAGACCAAAAAGGGAUUACAAAGCCAUCGGCUUGACCAUCCAGAUGCAAUGGAUACAAACUUUGGACUCUAUCGAAAGUUCUUUGGGCACGUGCCCAAGUGUCCUACCCAUAUGAUAAGUUACACGUGGCUAAUUGCGGACCGGUUGCUCGUGCUAAACAGGGUACUUUUUCUACGCAUAUAAGAUGUUUCACUAGUGGGGCUUCACCAUGCAAACUCAUGGAUGAAGACCCUGAGGCCAAGAUGAAGGAACAGAAAGAAGGCGGAGGAGAGGUUCGGUAUCGAGGCGUUCGGAGGCGGCCAUGGGGGAAGUUUGCUGCGGAGAUACGUGACUCGACUAGGCAUGGAGCGCGCGUCUGGCUCGGGACUUUCAAUUCUGCGGAGGAGGCUGCAAGAGCAUAUGACCGAGCUGCUUAUGCCAUGAGGGGUUCCUUGGCGAUUCUCAACUUCCCUAAUGAGUAUCAUACACCCGGCACGGCUAGCUCUUCAGCUUCAUCCUCAAUGCCCGAAGGUGAUCAGCAGGGAAAACAAGUCAUUGAAUUGGAGUACUUGGAUGAUAAGCUGCUAGAGGAUCUUCUCGACUCUGAAGACAAAAAGAACAAGAAAACCUGAAGUUUCUGCUGCCUCGAAUCCCCUGAAAUCUAGUGCUUCAUCGAAAAAAAAUCCCCUCGCUCCUGAUUAACAACAUUUUUAUUUUAGUCAAUGAAUGUGUUCUCGGAUCAUUAUAAGUAUUUCUGCCGAAGUCCAUUGAUUUUUGGAGACUGAAAAAUGUCAGAAAAAUUGGUGCGAACAGGUUUACUCCUUUCUAAAUUAUGCAAUUGAAGUAUUUGGAUUAGUGCGCAGUGUAAACAUCAAGGAAAGCAUGAUCCACUAUUUUAAGGAGCCUAAGUGCUUUCCCCUUUACUCUUUUAGGAUGUCUUUUCAGUGAAGAAAGUUGGGAGACCACCACUUACCCUUUUGAUUGGUAUAUAACUGCCAACUAAUAACUGGACUAACAUUUGGCCCGUCUGGCCCUACUUCUUUGACUUUGUUGUUAAUUUAUAACUUUAUGUGAAGUGGGGGCUGUUUGGGAAUGUGUGAAGCAAGGAUUUGAGCCGACUUCGCCUAAUCUGAUUCUCCAUAAGUGACUUCAUUUUAUCAUAUUGGUGUUUUUUUUCUUCUUCUUUUUAAAUGGCUGGGGAGGAGGGGAUUUGGGAGGGAUGCAAUGCCAUGGUUGCAUGCUGGAUUAUCCUUCCAAAUGAAACAUCCAUUUGGUUUCUAGUAACUAAUUGCAAACAAUUAAAGAGAAUAAAAUUUUAAGAUGAUUAAACAAUAAGUACCUAUGUCCAUGAAAAGGAGAGAAGUUCACUCAUGGGUGUUCAUGAAAGACAUCACAAAGAACCAUCAAUAUGAGAAGAAUCCUGAUACAAUUAACUUUCAUGCAUAAGAAAAGACGCUCAAAAAAGAAUAAUGCUUACAAGGAAAGAAUCUCACUACGAUCAACUGAAAAAAUAUUCCAAUUUAAUUGGAAAUCCUUACAUGGGAAGAAUAUCAAUAAAAUCAACUAAAAAAAUAUUUUAAUUUUAUAUCAAAAUAUUUGUGAUUUAACCCGUAUCAUUUCAUCAUGACUUCUUAUAAAUUUUGUUCCUUUUUAUCAACACCACCCCUUGAGUUGGAGCAUAAAUAUUUAUUAAGCUAACUUGAACAAGAUCUUGAGAAAUUUUGUCGCAGGAUUUGUUUGCACUUUUUUUUUUCAAAUAAAGUCAUAAUUAACUUUAAUAUGUUUAAUCAUUUCAUGAAAUACUAGAUUUUAAGCAAUGUUGAUAGCAUACUUAUGCCUGAAAGCUUUAUCCCAAAUCACAUGAGUACAUGAAGUGAUUGCAUCAUUAAUGGUAGUAUUAUUACUUUAUAUUCAACUUCUCCACUUGAUAGGAUGCAUGAAAGCAUUGUGCUUUCUUCUGUUUCAAGUAAUAAAGAUUAUCACCAAGAAAGGUGCAAUUAAUACCUAGUAACAGAGUACCUAGUGGUAGCAUGCACCUAUCCACUGAACUUGUACUCGACUCUAUGAGUGUACGUUACAUAGUCCUUUUUUCGAAGUCUAAAUGUCCCUUGAUAAAACCUUCUAAUAUUUGAGGUUUUGGUAACAUUCAUGUAUCAAUGAACAAAUUAAUUUACUAGCUAAACUUUAAAAUUAGGCAAUGUUUUUCAAUGGGUGAUCAAGAUCUUGGAAUUUUCAAUGUUGUUUGAAUAGCUUCCACACACAAGCAUAUUUUCUCCUAUUUAGGAAUAAUCCCUUUUUUGAAGGUGUGAUCUUUAUGCUCAAAAAAUAAAGAUACUCAAAAAUUUAAUAUUGACCUUCUCGUGAAGGAAAAGCUUUAUAACUAAUUUUUUUUGUGCAUUAUAUAUAUCCUCAAUAUAGACUUUAAAAAAAAAAGAAGUAACUCCCUCUACAAAGAGUGAAGAGUCAAUUAAACUUUUUUUUUUUUAAAAAAAAGGAACCAAUUACUCGUAAAAGUAAUGAUUAUUUUUACAUACCAAACUUGAGGAGAUUACUUAAGAUCACAAAAGUUUUUAUUAAAUUGCAAGCUAGAUGCAUUUGAAACGAUCGUUGAUGUCUUAGCAACACCUUAUGUAACUCAUCAAUCUUUAUGUAAAAAUGCAUUUUUAACACCCAUAUAAAAUAAUGAUCAAUCCUAAUUUAAUAGAAACAAAUGGUAAUACAUGAAUAUCAUUCAUAUUAAUGAGAAAAGUAAAUAUUGAUUUAUAAUCAACUUCUUAAGUUUGUGUCAAUGCCUUAAUCAUUAGUUUAACUUUGUCAUUCAAUGAUACCAUCAUUACGACAUUUAAUUAACUUAGAUUUGCGUAAAUCCCUUAAUCACUAGUCUAGCUUUAUGUCAUUCAAUGGUACCAUCAUUAUGGUAUUUAAUUGAUCUUAUACCCCCAAUUUGUAUACCCCAUGUUUUUCUUAAUUUACCAUACAUCACUUAACAAUGUUCCAUGCAUGGAUUUUGUUAAGUGCCUUAAGUUCCUUUUGCAUAGCCUUUCUCCAAAUUGGAUGAGGAUUGGCUUCAUUAAUGUCAUUAGACUCAUGAUAUAUGGAACUCAAACAAUUGUUAAGUGAUUUUGUAUAUAUAUAAAAAAAAAAUUGUAAUUAAUGUGGUAGGCAUAAAAAUCUCACAAAUGAGGAUUGAUUAAUUGUUAUAAUUGAGCAACAUGCUUGAGGCUUAGUCACAAUACUAGAACUUGAAGUCAGACAUUCUCUUCAAAUAAGGACGUAUAUACAUUAUAUUGGAUCUCCAUUAAACAAGUAAAGAACUAUUUAGUAGACAAUGAAACCUCAUUGAUCAAUGGUGGUAGAGAGACACAUGAUGACCAGACUAUUCCCCUGGAAAUGAGAAUAAAAAAUAUCAUUAGCCGCAAAAAUCUCAAAAAAAUUUAGAUAAUGGGAUAUAAAGAGUUUAUGAAUUUUACAAUCAUAACUCUUAUACUGGUUUAAGUGGUAGAGUAAUCAAGAACACAAAACGAGUUUGAUGAGUGGUUGAGAUAUGAACAAAGCAAAGAUUUCCAAAGACACCAAAAUCAGAAAUCUCAAUUUUUGGGCUAAGGAUUUCAAGAAGAAAUUUAAAAUUAACUACAUGACUAGAAAAUUUGUUCAUCAAGGAAAUAGAAGUAACGAUAUCAUAACAUCAUAAUUAAUCAAUAUUUUUAAUAACAUGCAUUUGGAACAUGAUAUACCGGCUUUCUAAUAAUCAAUGAUUUUUGGUUCAACCACACCAUUUUGUUUUGGGAUGCCAAUACAACAAGUUUAACGAANNNNNNNNNNNNNNNNNNNNNNNNNNNNNNNNNNNNNNNNNNNNNNNNNNNNNNNNNNNNNNNNNNNNNNNNNNNNNNNNNNNNNNNNNNNNNNNNNNNNAUGUAAGUGCCAAAUUAGGUAGUGUCGACAAUGAAAUGGAAAUUUUGGAAUAUAGAAACAACCUCAUUUUUAUGUUCUAAUAAGUAAACCUAUGUAGCAUAAGAAUAGUCAUUAAAAAAAAAGGUAACAAAAUGUUGAUUUCCAUCCUAUGGAUCAAUUAGGACACAACCCCAAGGUAAACUAAUUUGAAAGUUGCAACAAAAAUGGAAAGAGAUGAAAAAAUAAUAGAGGAAUUUAAGGUUGUUUCAAAAUUUCAAGACAUGCUAAGAAACACAUGAGAUUAUAGAUGAUUAGGUAACAACCUUGGUUAAGUAUAUUCAACAUAUAUAUCCCACGAGGAUAAAUAUCUUCACUAAACUUUUCCUAUUAUUCAAUCCCCUAAUACCAUACAAGUGAAAAAUUAAUGUCACGGUCAAAAAUUUUAAUAAGCUUCCAAAGAGAUAAUAAUUUUGGGGAAAAAAACAACCUAAGAAACCUAUGAAUUGAGAUAAUUUAGGAAAAAACUAAAUGUUCGUUAGCUCUAGAAGGGAAUUGAAGCUCAUCAUCAAUAAAGAUUGUUGCUAUCUCGAAUAAUAUCAAGUAAACCAUUAAGAUCGCUAUUAAUGGUAUGAUUAGCAGCACCAAUUAUCGACAAAAAAAUUAUUAAAAAUAUAAGAAAUGAGAGCUUUAAGAUUAUCUAAUUGAUUUGUAAACCUAGGUAAGUGAAUCAGUAUUACGUUUUGUUAAGGAAGCUUAGAUCCAAUUGGUAUCAUUCACCAAGUUAUUGGAUUAAAUUACACUAUCAAACUUUGGCUUUAAAUGAGAAUGAAGAAUCUAACCACAAUCCUUAUUGGGAUUAGAUAUGUUAUUGCAAUAAUGUUUACAAUCGGAUGAGUGCUAAUUUCUAUUGAAAUCAUGAAGCAAUCUCUGAUCAUUGGUCUUCUUUGUAGAAACAUGAGCAUUGAAUUUAAAAUUAAUAAUUGUUACUUGGGAUUCAACCUUCAUAAUCAUUGCCUGGGUUUCCUAAUCACUUUCAAGAAUUACUUAUAUAGUGAAGGCACUCGAAACUAAUCAAAUUUGUCCUCUUAUAAAGUUGUCAUAUUCAAGCUUCAGAAUAGCCAAUAAUUGAAAAACUUAUCAUACUCCGCAAUUUGUUGAAGAAUAUUUGGGUCUAUUGAAGGGGACAAUAUAGGGAAUAUUUGUCCCAUAUGCUCAAAAUGUUCAAUUAACAAAGUGUUCUGUAUGUUUAGGGAUUUGUUAGCUUUAAUUACACAAAACAUUAGCAGUUUUAGAGAAAAUUAAUUUUUUUUUGCAAUCUUAGGUUCCAUGAAAUUAAAAAGCCAAUAACAAGUCAAUAUGGCUUGAGACCCAGUCAUCAUAUUCAAAGUCAUCCAACUUAGAAGCAUUCAUUUUGCCACUAACAUGUGCUAAUUUCCAUUUUCUAUCUUUCAAGAGAAAAAGACUGCUCUUAACCAUGGCAAAUAAUUGAACCCAUUAAGAAGAUUGAGGAAAGUAUCAUAUGAGGGUUGUCAUUUUCCUCCAUGACAAAGAAAAAGCAACAGAGAAAAACUCAUAAUAUUAGAAAGAGAAUGAAAGAAAUUGAGUCAUAGAUACACACAGAAGAAUCCAAAAAUAAAGCAAUAAUACAACCACAAAUAUGAGAAGAAGCUCAAUUACAAAGAAAGGAACUCAAUACAAUCAACUAAAAAGCGUUCCGAAGUUCAUACGAAAAUAUUCAUAAUGUGAAGAUCAUUUCAUGAUUCCUACAAUUUCUUCCUUCUACCAGUCCACUCCAUACAAGGUUUGAUCAACAACUUCUUCAUUGAUUUUCUGGUCUCUCUCCGGUGUAUCAUAGAGCAUUUUUGACAUGUUUCUGCAAGAUACACUUGUUAACUUUAAGCGACAUAAGUGCAAAAAAAUAAGAUCAUGUUGUAUUGCCUGUGCUUCCACUCUGCCUUGUUUAGUACUAUUAUGGAGCAGUACUUCCAUAUAGAACCAGUGAUCUCCAGUUCAUUAUGUUGCCUUCUUUAAACUAACUUUAAUUAUCUAUACAUAUAAAACAAAGUGGUCCCAUCAAGGGGCUAAAUCAAGAAUCAAGUGGGGCGAACAGGAAACAGUGGCAUCAAUUUUUAAGUCCAUAAGCUUUAAUAAAAGGAAUAAAACCAAGGAUAUGAAUAUGUUAUUUUUUCAUUUGUUCAUGCACUGGAAGAUCUUUCCUCUUCAAGCAUUGAACCAGCAUCCUUCUGUGCAAGUUGCUGUCGGAACCUUCUAUAAUUGUCAGAAGUCUGUUUCUGAAAUAUACAGAUAAAACUUUUAGCAAGUCUUGACAUUGCUCAUCACUAGGACAUUGUACUAGGAUACCAAUUCAUCUAAUUAGGGUUAAGUUGGCAUCUCGUACACUAUUUUUUAUUUUUCCUUCAUCUUUUGUUCCCAUUUGCAGUGGAAGUGGCACUUAGAAUAUCUGAUCAUGAAGAAUUAGCUUUCGGUGAGAUGAUACUAGGUCAAUUGCCAUUAUCUUUUUGAGUUACUGUGCGAGCAAUCUUGAAAAUAUUUUGGGAUAAAUAGAAUUUGUGCUUAUCAUAAACAUGCUAAACAUCCAAAUCAAGUGCUUUUACUAUUGAUAUCAAAUCAGUAAUUGAUUUUAACCUUUAUGCUUAUCUUUCAGAUUCUCAAUUAUGUAUCUUGAAUAAUGAUAUUAAGCAGAAAUCAUGAAUUGAAUUGCUUUAAUUAACUGUGCCUUAUCAAGCUUGUCAGCAGUGCUAUUGCUACCGCGAAUCAAAUUCGCUGUGCUUCCCGCCUUCUCCAAAUAAGCCACAAGCCCAAUUAUAUCCGCCCUCCUCCCAUCUCCAAGGGAUCAAAAAAUAAAAUGACUUCAAUCAAUUUUCAAGUUUUCCAUCUUGAUCAGUAGACCACCCGGCAUGAAUGUUACCCUCAGUUUAGGAAUAGGAAUUCCUUUUACUAAUCAUUUGGCACUAAAAACUAUGACCCCUAGCAAUUCAUUCCCUCCAUUAGAUAUCUGGGGGCAUCUUGGCUCAGCCAAAAAUGAUAAGUCAUUGCAUUUCACAUUGCAUUCAUUUGUAUUAAUGAGCUAAUUUUUUUUCACAGAAUGUGAUGUGAAUCGAAUUACUUCCAACCAUGUGUCUCUAUAAGGGUUUAACAAAUGUAAUUUGCAUUGUCUGUACACUUUUUUUUCGGUUUCUUUUCUUUUUUAUGCAUGAUUCAUUAGUCCACGGAUCUUCUAUGCAAAGUGUGCAGGCCAAACACCUCCUUCAAUGCAUUAUUCUAGAAGUUAAGACUCAGUUUACUCCUUAAUUGAUCUGUUCCAUUUACUUCAAAUCAUUUGAUUACAUUAAAUGAAUCUUGAAAUUCAAAAAUGCAUCAAAGUUAAAAGACCUUCCAAUGCAUUAAGAAAUCAUCUGAUACAAAUAUAUGUGAACCUGCAACAACAAUAAUGUCAAAAUGGAAAACUUAGGUAGAAAAUAUUAGAACGGAAACUUACGACGAACUCAAUUUUUGGCGCCUUUCUUCUUCUCAUCUUCUGAUCCAAGAAGCUCUUCCAACACCGUGUCAUCCAAACACUCGAACUCAAUGACUUGCUUUUCUUGCCCAGAAGAGGAACCUCCCAUCUCUAAACUCCUACAAGGCCCAGAAGAUGACGAGGAAGACGAUGAGGAUGGUGAUGGUGGGGGGCGAUGGGAGCCCAUGAUUUCAGAAUAGUACUCAUUAGGAAAGUUAAGAAUGGCAAGAUGACCCCUUAAGUUAAAGGCCGCUCGAUCAUAGGCGCGAGCUGCAUCCUCCGCCCUGUCAAAUGUGCCUAGCCAUAGACGAGCACCUUGCCUAGACGGAUCCCUAAUCUCGGCUGCAAACUUCCCCCAUGGCCUCCUCCUCACCCCUCGGUAUCGAACUUCUUCCUUUUCCUUCCCUUCCUGCUCCUGCUUCUCAUUCCCUUUCGAAUGAUCUUCCAUGCUAAACGUGUCGAUUUGCUAGGCGCAAUUUUUUUGGUUUCAAAUGUGCUGGUUUACGAGAGGCAUGGAUGCUUAUGUAUAUAUAUGGUUGCCACAGUCAGGUCUGACGUCACCGCUCAAUGUAUGUUCCACAGCGUGGGUUGACGAGCUUUCUGAGGGGGUUUCCUCGAAUUCAAAGCAAGUAUAAAAAUUCGAUUCUCCGACCUUUCCAAUGAGGAUCGAACAGGCCUUUUAUUAGAACCGUAUGAUAACUCCACACUGUUUUCAAAUAGUCAAUGUGAUCUAGAUUCUUCGUUAAUUUUUUCCACCUGACUGAUUGUUUACAAUUUUAUUUUUCACCGUCCCAAAUUUAAACCAUUUACGCGAUUCCCUGGAUUGCAUUUUUCUUUAAUGUUGACUUUACGAGGCAAUAGGACCCCCCAGCAACCCCACUAGGGCGACUUCAUGGGAACCAGAUUACUUUUGGAUCCAGAUAUGGUCCAGAAGAAAUAAGACAAAUCAAUUAAUGUCCACUAAAGUUUUGAUGGAACCCUUAGUCCGUGUUUCCUGUGGAUGUAUGUAUUGUAUGCACCUCAAUUUUCACCAAUCCCUGCUACGAGUCCCUUUAAUUUUGACGUUAUAAAUGUUUUUCCUGACAUUAGCAGAGUGUUUUUCUGCCGUCUUUGAGGACCUUCCACGGCCCAUAAACUAAUAAGGAUCGUCCAGUGAAUUUAGUCUUCCCCAGUUAAUUAUCCUGCGAGGGAAACUUGGGCAGUAAGUUGCCUACAUGAGUGGCUCCCGCCUACAUGAGUCAAGGGACCAUACGUCAGGACGACAACCAGUGUGGUCACACCAAAGUGGGUUGCCUGGACUCCAGGGUGGUCGCUUCAAAGUUGUCAAAUGAAGGCUAGCUUGGCAAGUUUUGGAAAACAAUUAUUGAAAAACAUUUUUCAUGAAUAACAGUUUCUAUGAACAGAUUUUAAGAAAGUUUAUUUUGUGAUUUUUAGGAAUAUUUUUAAUUUAAAUUUUUAUAUUUUUAAUUUUUUAUUAAUUUAUUGAUUAUUUAAUAUUAGCUUAAUUAAUGGAUUUUUCUUGGUCCCAAAUUAUUAAUUUAUCAAGAUUUAAUCGCAUCCAUAAUUAGUCUAAUUUCUUUUGGAGUGAGUGUGACAAAGUGCAAAUUUCUAGAGUUUUAUUAAUGUUAUUCAAUGUCAUAAUUUAACUAAUUAUAUUAAUUAUUUAUUAAUCAAAAUAAAUCAUUCACUUGAAAUAUGAUAAUUUAAAUUAAAAGUUUCAAUUAUUUAUUAAUUAGCAAAGUAUGAACUUUUCUUCUUGUUUUAUUAUUGUUAUUCCAUGUAUAUAAUUUAAUUAACUGUUUCCAAUAUUAAUCAAUAAAAAUAGAAUAUAAGCAUGAGAAGAAUUAGUAAAAUUCAUUGAUUUGGAAUUAGAUAGCUAGAGGAAGAACUUCAUCAUCUUCCCAUUACUUAAAUUUGUAUAAAUUCUAAAUAUUUAAACCCCCCCCCCCCCCCCCCCCCCCAAAAAAAAAAAAAAUGGUAAAGAAAGACUCCCCAAGCUUUCUUGGUUGGUGUUACCCUAAAAUUUGUACAAUAAGAUGAACCAUUUGGCUUAAAGCUUGGUGCGAAACCCCUUAUCAAUUGAAAAUAUCAAUGAAGUUGUUGAAUGGUUUUAGAGGACUAUUCUUAUGCAGAGUGGCAUAAGAAGCGAGGAGAUGAAGAGCGGAGAGACGUUAACAUCGGAUGCUGCUACGAAGGUGGGAAUACGGUUAAUUAAUUAGAUUUUGUGAUGGCUUUGAGUUUGAAGGAGUUAGUUUAAUGGGUAUUAUUAGUGAACUGAUAAUUGGAUUUGAUGUAAAGAAGGUUGGUCCAUUGGAUUAGCAAUUGGUUUGGCCUUUUGGGGGCCCCAUUUCCAAAUGCAUUGCCUUUUACAAGCAUUCAACAUCGCUGGACGUAACCAGGCUUGGUUCACCUAAAAGUAUCGCAUGGAUUGAAUUGACUAAGUUUUCAUUGUAGACUAGCCUUGAUUUUCCCUUGACCUGCCCACCAAAUCCUGAUGCCCACGCGAGGGAAUACCUCAAUUUUCUAAUAAUUUAUGCAGUUUCUCUUCAAAGCUCGUGUGAUCACUUGGGUCGGUAAAAUAAUGCAUUCCUCUACUUUUUCUCCCUUCCUAGAUGCAUGUUAUACCAUUAAUUCAAAUGUGAACAUGGGCUUGGCUUUGAAACUUGGUUCAAGGCCCAACAUGUUGACCCACAAUUGAGGUGUAAUUGAAUUUGUACACUUUUCGACUUUGAUACCAUUUGUCAUUACCAUUGACAUUGGGUCAUUGUUGAUUUUGAGUCCACAACUUUUAAGGUUGUUAUUACAAUUUUAAAUUGCGCCCACCCAAUUUAUAUGCAUUAUCCCUUAUAAAUACCGAUAACCUCUCUUUCUUCGAUAAUAUAAAAUGUCACAUAUAUUAUAUAUCUCAAUGUUUUCUUUUACUUUUUUUUUUUUUAUCGAUCGACAUUCUCUCUCAGAUGAUAUGAGAUGUCACAUAUAUUAUAUGUUUCAAUGUUUCUUUUACUUUUUCUCUUUUUCCUCAUGAUUGACAUUGUCUUUCUCAAAUGAUAUGAGUUGUCACAUAUAUUUUAUGUCUCAAUGUUUUCUUUAACUUUUUUUCUCUCUUCUUUAAUGAUCGACGUUCCUUUUCUCAGAUGAUAUGAAAUGUCAUAUAUAUUAUAUGGCUUAAUGUUUUCUUUUACUUAUUCUUUCUUUAUUAAUAAUCGACAUUUUAAGCAAUAUGUGAAUAUAAAGCAUUAAAAUUAUCUCCAUCGUUUUUGGAUGUGGUAUAAAUACACAAUUCUUAUUUUUGUUUUAAAUAUUUCUAUUGCUAUCUAUUGAAAUUUUAUGCAUGAAGCUACCAAGUUAAUUAUACAUAUAUCUUAAGAUUUUUUUUUUUUUUUUUUAUAGGAUAUAUUGUCCAUGAAUAUUUUCUGCAAUGGUAUCUUGUUUGAUUACUAUAAGAAAUAAUAUAUAUAUAUAUAUAUAUAUAUAUAUAUAUAUAUAUAUAUAUAUAUAUAUAUAUUAUAUUUCAAUGUUUCAUAUUUGCUUAAAAUAAAAAUUAUAUUUUAUCACAAUAUUUGGUAUUAAAAAAAAUGAAAUCUCUCUCAUUUAUUAUUACAAAAAAAUUAUAAUUUAUAAUUUUCUAAAUAAGUUUUAUUUAUUUGCUAACUAUAUUCAUGAUUAAAAGAUUUAAAAUUUAUAAAUAAAAAAUAUUAUGUCAUGUCAUUAAAUAAAUAAAAAUAUAUGUAUAUAUUAAAAUUAUGUUUUAUUGUAGCUUUUAAUAUUUUUUUUUUUAUUCUUUUCUUUUUUGAACUACAAUUUUAAUUUUUUUUAAUCAAAAUUUUUUAAUUUACAAAACGAGUAACAUAAAACUUGCCUUUGAACUUUAUUGGAAUGUUAUAUACUACCAUUUGGCUUUCAAGACAUUAGAAAAGGCAUAAGUGUCCCUUUUAUUUUUCCGAAAGGCAUAUUAGACUAUAGUAGGAAGUGUUGUAUAGAGGCAACUAAAAGUUGCCUUUAACUUUAUGAAGUCAUAUACUCCUCUUUGGCUUUGAUGACAUCAACUAGCAAAUUGGAUUUUGUUUCCUUUGCAACAUUUUUCCAUCCAUUAGCCAGUUUUUUUAUACUGUUUGGUGCUUGCCAACAUGGCACACACUAUGGUUCUUAAAAAGUAUUUUUUUUUUUAAGAUACUACGAAAUAAAAUACACGAUUGAAAGAUGAGUCACAAUAAUUUUCAAAACUAAAUUUUUUAAUAUUGUUAAGAAAAUUUGACCACCAAAUGAUUGAUUUUAAAUUACAAAUACUUUUGUUAGCUAAGAAAUUUGUUGUUCUAUUUGUUUCCCUAUAAAUAUGACAACAAUCAUAAAUAUUUUCAUUUUAAGAUAAUUUUCAAAUAUCUUCCAUUAAUAAUAUAAUAGAAUUAGGAAUUUUUUUUUUAGUUAUAACAAUCUAUAAUUAUUUAAGAGUCUUCCUCAAUCUCUAGGUUUAAGAACUUAUUGUUCUUAACAACUAACAUGUCAUCUCUUAAAAUAAUACAUUCUGCAAUAAUUAUUGAAAUAUGAUAUAAUAUAUAUAUCUACUUACAACCAUUUUUGUAGUACCAUUAGAAUUUUUAAUUACCCAUUCUAAAGUAUUUUUAUUCUCUAUUCUUAAACCAUCAAAAUUUAAUUUAAAUCUUUCAUUAAUUGGAUAAAUCCAAUGAAUCUAACAAGUUAAAGGAUUAUGAAUCCGACAAAACAGUUGAUAAUAAAUUAAUAAUGCCAUUAAUAUGAUUUUAAUGUGAAACACAAUUAUCACAUUUAAUACAGUUAGUCCUUGUAUGAUUAAUGUUUUGGAAGCUAAAAUCAAUCUUUUGACUAUAAUAAGAGUUUCUACUAUUUCUAUUUUUGGAUGAUUUUAUAUUUUUCUUAUUGUUUUAGUUUAAUACAAAAAAUAAAAAUAAAAUUACAUUAGUAGAAUUUUUUUAACUUACUCAAAAACCUAUUUUAGUUGAAUGAUUUUUUUAAAAAAAAUAUAAAUAUUUUGUUAAAAGGGAUAAAAUAACCUUACCUUGUGAAAAAGACCUCUUCACCCAAGAUUACUUGUUCAUAAUCCUUUUAAGACGAAAAUGCCCCCUUCCUAAAAAAUAUUUCAUCUUAAACUUAUUUUUCUUUUUAUUGCCCUUUGUUCCAUCCUUCCGGCUUGGGAGAGAAAUUCAUUCUUCUUUUGCGAAGAAAAAUUCCUAUUGCGAUUUUUCAUUUCAAGUGGAAAAAAAAAUUCUUAUUUCAUUUUAAAGAAAUUGUACAUUUUCAAUCUUUCUCUUUGUUCCUAGUUGAGGGUUUUUUUUGUAAUUUUAUCUUAACACUACAAAUUUAAAGGUGAGAUUAAAUCUUAAUGGUUAUUAGUUAAAUCACAUAUCUAACUUUGUUUUUGUCAGGACCUAUAAUAUGAUUGGAACCACCAUCCAAACUUCAUUAGGUGGGAUACUCCCCACCCUCCCCCUCCCCCCGCGAAAUCCUUGGAUUUUAGUUUUGACUUGGAUUUCAAUUGCCCGUAUCAAUUUUUCUUUAUUUAUUAAUUUAUUAAUUUUCAACUUUAACAAAAGCCUUGAAUCAUAUUUAAAUUCAAAUAACUUAAUCCUAAUUAAGUUCUUUUUAAAUAAAAAUUAAUCAUUGAAAAGUUCAUGUGACUAUUAUAAUUGAGAAUUUAUCCCAAGUUGGGUUUUUUGCAAAUAAAAUUUUAUUAUAGGACAUCAUGAUGCAACAUAACAUAAGGUUGUUACUUAAGUUUGUUUUGACCUUGUAAUAUGUUAAAAUGAAAAUGAAGCCAUUGUAACAGGAGAGAAUGAUGAAGCUGUGGAGAGAGCUUAACAAAGCUUGGGUUGGAGAGACUUCACAGGAAGAGAGAGAGAGAAAUAAAGGGUAAAAUUAUCAAAAGAGAAAAGAAAAAAAAAAAAAAAAAAGAAGGUUAUGUCUUCAAAUAAUCAAUAAGAGAUGUCAUUUUUCUAAUUUUCAAAGUUCUUUUGGUCCUUCUCUACAAAUAUCCCUAUAAAAAUAUUAUAAUAUCAAGUUAAUUUGUCAAUACCAAAAUUUAUAUUUUAUAUUAGGGCGACUAAAUAACAUAUAGAAAGAAUUUUAAAUGAGUAAAUCAAAUCAAUUUUGAAACCAAAACUUAAUAAUUACCAAACUUGUAAUCUUAGUCAUUAAAAGUGUACGAUGAAAUCUAAAUUAUUAAGCAAUGAAACAAAAAAUUAAGAUUAAAAUACAAAACGUUAAAAUCAAGAUACAAACUAUUAAAAUGUAAGUGGGAUAUGAGAUGAUAUUAUAAAAAAUAGUGUGAUCCAACAAAAAGUCUAGUACAUCAUUAUCUUCACUUCCAACCAUGUUUAAAAGGUCACAAGUUCUAGCGGUUUCCAAGGACAAUGUUAAAAAUAAUAAAAAUAAAUCCAAUUAAAUAUUAAUUAAUUUAUUUGAAUUUGAGUCCGACAAAAUAGUUGGUAAUAAGUUAAUAAUGCCAUUAAUAUGAUUUUAAUGUGAAACACAAUUAUCACAUUUAAUACCCGUUAGUCCUUGUAUGAUUAACUUUUUAGAAAUUAAUAUCAAUCUUUUGAUUAUAAUAAGAGUUUCUACUAUUUAUAUUUUUGGAUGAUUUUAUAUUUUUCUUAUUGUUUUAGUUUAAUACAAAAAAAUAAAAAUAAAAUUACAUUAGUAGAAUUUUUUUUAACUUAUUCAAAAAACCUAUUGUAAGGUGAAUGGUUUUUUUAUUUUUUUUUUAAAUAUAAAUAUUUUCUUAAAAGGGAUAAAAUAACCUUACCUUGUGAAAAAAGGCCUCUUCACCCAAAUUUACUUGUGCAUAAUCCUUUUCAGACGAAAAUGCCCCCUUCCUAAAAAAUAUUUCAUCUUAAACUUAUUUUUCAUUUUUAUAACCCUUUGUUCCAUCCUUAUGAUUUGGGAGAGGAAGUCAUUCUUCUCUUGUGAAGAAAAAAUUCCUACUGCCAUUUUUCAUUUCAAGUGAAGAAAAAUAUUUAUAUUUCAUUUUAAACAAAUUGUACAUUUUCAAUCUCUCUUUGUUCCUAGUUGAGGUUUUUUUUUUUUUUUUUUUUUUUUGUAAUUUUAUCUUAAUUGUACAAAUUCGAAGAUGAGAUUAAAUCUAUAAUGGUUAUUGGUUAAAUCACUUAUCUAACUUUGUUCUUGACAGAUCGUAUAAUAUGAUUGGAACCACCAUCCUAACUUUAUUAGGUGGGAUCCCUUUUUUUUUUUCCCCAAACCCUUGGAUUUUAGUUUUGACUUAUAUUUCAAUUGUCUGUAUCACUUUUUCUUUAUUUAUUAAUUUUCAACAAGUUCUUUAACAAAAGCCUUGAAUCAUAUUUAAAUUCAAAUAACUUAAUCCCCAUUAAGUUCUUUUUAAAUGAAACUUAAUCAUGUGAAAGUUCAUGUGACUAUUAUAAUUGAGAAUUUAUUCUUAGUUGGGUUUUUUGUAAAUAAAAUUUAGUUAUAGGACUGUGAUGAUCCGUUCUCAACCGUAUAAAUAUUGUUCGUUUUGAAUUCAAAAUAACUUUUACGGCUUUAAAACAUGUUUACAAGAUUAAGAGGAGUCCAUAUUUAUAUAGCUUCACGAACUUUCCCCCCUAUUCGAUGUGGGAUGUCACAAGGACAUCAUGAUGCAACGUAUAACAUAAGAUUGUUUCUUAAGUUUGUCUAACCUUGUAAUGUGUUAAAAUGAAGAUGAAGCCAUUAUAACAGAAGAGAAUGAUGAAGUUGUAGAGAGAGCUUAACAAAGCUUGGGUUGGAGAGACUUCAUAGGAAGAGAGAGAGAGAGAGAGAGAGAAAUAAAGGGUAAAAUUAUCAAAAAAGAAAAAAGAAAAAAAAGAGGGUGAUGUCUCCAAAUAAUCAAUAAGAGAUGUCAUUUUUCUAAUUUCAAAGUUCUUCUGGCCCUUCUCUACAAAUAUCCCUAUAAAAACAUUAUAAUAUCAAGUUAAUUUGUUGAUACCAAAAUUUAUAUAUUAUAUUAGGAUGACUAAAUAACAUAUAGAAAGAAUUUUAAAUGAGUAAAUCAAAUCAAUUUUGAAAUCAAAACUUAAUACCUACCAAACUUGUAAUCUUAGUCAUUUAAAGUGUUCCAUGAAAUCUAAAUUAUUAAGCAGUGAAACAAAAAAUAUAAGAUUAAAAUACAAAACGUUGAAAUCAAGAUUCAAACUAUUAAAACGUAAGUGGAGACGUAAGAUGAUGUCAUAAAAAAUAGUGGGAUCCAACAAAAAGUCUAUUAAUCAUUAUCUUCACUUCCAAUCAUGUUUAAAAGGUCACAAGUUCUAGCGGCUUUCAAGGACGAUGUUAAAAAUAAUAAAAAUAAAUCCAAUUAAAUAUUAAUUAAUUUAUUUGAACAAUAGAUAGGACCAAAAUAAUAUUCUAAAAGGAAUCAUAGGGAAGUCCUUGGACAACCUACGACAUUGAACAAAGGUACAGUGAGACAAUGCACUUAGCCCUUCCUUGUCAUUGCGAUGAAUAUAAAAAGACACCCUGAUUGAGGGUGCCCCACUAAGCCAAGAGUGAUUCUUUUGUAUUGUAUAACGUGAAUAUUUUUGAACUUUGAAUGACCCUUCCUAUAGUCAUCAUUGUCAAAACUAGAAAAUCAGAAAGAUGCGAUGUACGAAGGCACCAUUGAAUAAGAGGCUUAAUUCUCUUUGGCAAUUAGGAUAAAGUUUCAAAAUAGAAAAAUUAAACAAAUGUACAGUGUACGGACACUUGGGCAUUGCCUAUUUGUUUUGUUCUUCUAGAGUUGUAUAUGGUAAAGGUCAUAUUGGGUUGGUUCUAUUUGGUUAUUGAAGUCGGCUAGAAUAUUAGAUUUGGUUUCAAUCUAAUCCCAUAUGAUAUUAGAAUACCAGCCCAUACAGAAUUUUUGACCAAAUAUAAUAUUUCUUUUAAAUAUAAAUAUAGUAAUUAAUUUUAGUCUAAGAUUAAUUAUGUAGUUUCCUAAAGAGACCACUUCCUAAACGGUAGCUAUGUGGAAGUUGGGCCAGGUCCUGCCGAGAAGGUUUCCACGAGCUGAGCCCAAAACUGAGUAGCUGUGAUGGGAUCAUUCUAGCAUUCAGCCUGAAACUUGUAACAUAACGGAUCGAGAGGCCUGAACUCCAAGACCAUGGUUCGUCAGCCCAUUAACUUCAACAGCACGCAUUUUAGAGGACUGGGCUUGCAAGGGGUGAGGUUUCCGGGCCGCGACCCCAAAUAUGAACAGCCUCAGAAGUGAUAUUGCUUACUGGCACGUGAAGAGCGCAAGCGUAACUAGAAGAUUUGUAAUGCCGCUUUAAUUGUUUGAUUAUAGAAUCCCACGCAUUACGCAUGGAAAGUGUAAAAGAUAAAAGAUGUAGAAUUUUUUCUUAGAGAAAAGUUCGUUUGGAUAUAGUUAUUGUUUUUUUUUUAAAUAAUAAUUGUUUUUUUUAUAAAUUAUAGAUAAUCUUAGAAAUUUAUCUUUAAAAAAAUAGUUUUUAAAAAUAUUUAAGGAGAAUAAAAGUGAUAAAAAAAAACUUUACAAUUUCAAAUUUUUAAAAAAUGAAAAUUAUUUUUAAGAAUAUAAGUUAAUCUCCUGCAUUUAAAUCUUAGGUGGUUUUUGUUUUUUUUACUUUUCGCUGAAAACAAUUUGUUUUCAAAAUUUAGGUCAUUUGUUUUUUCUAUUUUUUCAUGAUUUAUUAUAAAUUUUUUACUAAAUAAAAAAAAUCAAAAUAUGUAACUUUUUCUAAAUAAAAAAAAUAACGUAUUGAUUUUUCUUUACUUUUUAAUACUUAAUAGAUAUAAAAUACUACAAAAACAAAAAAUCUAAUAUUUAACACUAUUAAGCAUUAAAGUUCUAUUUAGAAUUAAGUAAAAAAACAAACACCACCUUAUAUUUUAUAUAAAAGUUACUUAUAUUUUGGUUUUUGGAAAUAAAAAAUAUAAAGCAUAUCCAAACAUGAGCUUAGCUAUUUUAAAUCAUAUCAAAAUAAUAAUCCCAAUAAGGUAAAUGGACUUUUAUACGGAGAAUAAUCUUUAAGGUUUUCAUUUUUAUUGGAUUUUUUUUUUGUGGUGUUUUUUCAAUCCAUCUUCUCAAUUAAUUCCUUAAAAUUAUUUUACUGUUUUUUUUUUUUUCAGUUUCUAAAUAUUUGAUUUUUCCAAAAUGCUUAAAUGGAAGACACUAAUUUUUCAAGAUAUUUGGUAUUACAAUUUUCCCUGUUCUCCCUAUUAUCUAUCAGAUUCAUGGCCCUUUUGUUUUUUCAUUGGUUUUCAAUUUAAUUUUCCAAAUAUUACAUUGUUGUGUUUUGAAUUUGUGAAACCAAUUUUAUAUAUAUAUAUAGUAUGUAAGUCUACUUUGGGUAACAUGUACAGAGAGGUUUUCAUGUGUUUGAAACCUUUUACCUCAAAAAUUAAUUAUUUUUAAUUUUAUAAUAAAUCUUUUUUUAUUUUUUAUUUUAUUUAGGAAAGCCUAUAUUUAAACUACAUGUUUGCAACGCAACACCAUACAUACUCCUAGUGGAACUUACCUUAGUGCUUGAGGGGGAUGCAGAUCUUCUUCUAAACCUAACUAAUAAGCAUAAAAUUGUUCACUAAUUAGCAUAUCUAGUAAAUCAUACAAAUUGGCAAUAUUUCAUGUUUUUCAUGUUUUGUCAAUAAAAGGCGUCUUGACCAUUUUGUGAGUUUUGUAAUAAAUAAAAAAAAAAAAAAAAAAAGGGCAAAAGGUGACUAAAAUGAGGCACUUUGGAAAGGUUAAUAACCUAAAAGGAAGAUGAAUUAAUACCCCCUUAUUCCUCUUCAAAAACCAUUGAGAAAAUGCAAGAAAUGCUCUUAGUUGUAUGCUAGGCUAACAGCCUAGCAACCAUAAUACCCUUCUUUGCAAUUGUAAGCAUUUUUUUUUUUUUUUUGAAGGCCAAACAACGUUGCAAACUUCCCAAAUCCCUUCUUUAUUUUUUAUUUUUUUAUUUUUGUUUUUAGAAGGAGAAUGAAUUUGAUGACAAACUCCUUGUCAAUCUUAUCCAAACCACGAUCGAACAGAACUCCUUGUCAAUCUUAUCCAAACCGUGUUCCACCUCAAAAACAUGUGUAGGACUUAAGGCAGCAACUGGCAAGCAUGACUGAUAGGGCCAAGUGCCCUUGUCUCUACAAUCCAUUAAGUUAACCAAGGGCAGUGAACCAUCAUUCUUUUCAAAAGCUUCAUUCCGUGUUGAAAAUGUGAGACUGAAGCAUGGUGCCCCCAAAAAUAACGAUCUAUUUACUAGCAGCAUGCCUGGACCCAUUAAAAAUACUCUACUUUAGGAAUAGAAAAAAUUACAUCUUUAUCCAAUAAUUUUAUAACAAUUCAGACGUUUCAGUCUAUAAAUAAUUGUACAUAGUUGCCAACGUUUAGCUAGUUUCAAAUGAAUAGCCUAGGUUCAUGCACCAGUUUGGCUGGUGGAGGAAAGGGAUUCGAGACAUUGAACCCUCUUUUUAGUGUGCCAAAUAUUCCACAAAAAUCACUACCUUCUCUUUGUGUUUGUUCACUUUUAGUUUAUAUUUAAUAAAUCUAUGUUUUCGAGUAGAGGUUGGGUUCAGGUGCGACCCACGUCACCUCUCGGACGGUCUUGAAAAAGGAGACCGGACCACGUAAUUUCAAAUGUAGUGACCAUCUCACUUUUACCUCCAUCCUUGAAGAUGGUUUCCCAAAUCAAUAUUAAUCUUUUGUUUACGACAAUAUCGAUCACUUUAUGUCUAUAUCGUUGUUAAUUUACCUUUUUUUUUUAGCCACAUUAUUUGAAAAUUGAUGCAAACUUUACCAACAUCUUGGUACCAUUUUAAAAUAUUAGAGUUAUUUGAUUAAAAAAAUAAAAUAAUCUCGAUAACUUGUUUAUAAAAUAAAUAUCUUUUAACAUUUAGACUAUUCUCACGCAUGCUUUAAAAUUGUAAAGAUAUUCAUAAAGUGGAACUUUAGACUUAAUCAAUAUCGAUCACUUUAUGUCUCUAUUGUUGUUAUAUUUUUUUUUUACAACAUUAUUUGAAAAUUGAUGCAAACUUUACCAACAUCCUAAUACCAUUUUAAAAUAUUAGAGUUAUUUGAUUAAAAAAAUAAAAUAAUCCCGACAACUUGUUUAUAAAAUAAAUAUCUUUUAAUAUUUAGACUAUUUUCACCAUGCUUUAAAAUCAUAAAGAUAUUUAUAUUCAUAAAGUGGAACUUUAGACUUAAACAUGAUAAUAGUUUUUUUACAAUAUUAUAAUUAUUUUAUCGUUUUAAUUAAGCCCUUUAUCAUACAUAUAAAUGUAAAUUAAUGCUAAAUUUUUAAAGCAACGUAUAACCUUUUACAUCUUUUUUUAAGAUGGUGCGAAAAUCCUAUGAAAAAUAAUAAAAGUCGAUGCAUAAGAAGAUUGUUUUGAUAAUUCAAUAGAAAAAUUCUUUUAAAAUGAUAUUAAAAAAUACCCAUAGAGCCUUUAUUAAAAAAAUCAAUUAUUUUCAUAAUAAAAAUUAUAAUUUUUUAUUAUGUAUUAUUAUUUUUAAGUAUCUUUAUUACAAAUACUUUUUUUGAGUUUAUGAGAGGAAUCAACAGGUUGGUACAAGCUUAGGCGUCCUCGUACAUGUUCCCGCUGUGCAAGGUUUUUGUCUUGUUUCGAGCUAGUCGGAAUUUACGUGUUUGAUAACGUUUUGUCCUAUUUUUGUAACGCUUUAAAGGGCGGCCCACCGUUGGAACAGUUCAAGCCAUCCAAAUCAGCCCGGAGGGUUAUGGCGACGUGGCAUGACGCCUACCACCUUAGUUCACAUGAACCCUAUGAUCGUACUACCCUCACAUGACAUCUGUGAUUCUUCACCUCCAAACCCUCUUUAACUUGGUAAUGUAUUCAAAGCUUCAUCAAAUCAUAGCGAUUAGCGACCCUCUUCCACCCUAAUUUUAUAAUAAAAAAUAAAUCUUAGUGGACAUUAAAGUAGUAUUUUGUGGGGGGAAAGAAAAACUCUAUGGGCGUAUCCACUAAAUACGAGCCAAGUAUAAGAGUUAUCACCAUGGAAUCAAAUUAUGAAGCAUUGACAUUUUAAUUGUAUUCAGAUUUGAGGAGGGCACCGCGGCACCAGCUGGCCCAGUGUAGUCUGCUAGCCUACCCGCCAUAAUGACCAAAUUAAUAAAGUAAAAAGGAUUACAGGGAUAUUCCCAACUUUAUUCUGGGUCUGAGCUGGAACUUGGGAGUUAUCACGAUCAACGGGAAAGAUGGUGGGUAGGGGACGAGGAUUGAGGGCUCCAUAUUCACAUCAGUGAAAAACGAAAUGUAUUGAGACAAGUCUUCUAAGGAUUUUCUAGCGUAUUAUAUGGUUUAAAUGAUUAUAAAUCUGUAGUUACUGGUAAAGAGUAGAGAGUGAAGACGAAAGACGUUGAGUGAAAAGGAAGGAGGAGAGGGGAUGGGGCCAUCUUACCGUGUCGGGGAGGAUCCAUAAAAGGACUACGUUCCCUGAAUCUGUAGGCAUCAUGCCUCGCCUAACGGGUUAGUCAAAAUACAGUGAUGUGUGUGAGUUGGGGGCCUCACUCCUCAUUUCUUUCCUUCUUUUCACCCCCACCCCCACUUUUUUUUUUUUUUUUUCGAAUUUUUCUUUGUCCUUUUCUCUCACUUGCGCACGCGGGAGAAGGACCACAAACUAGACAAUUCCUCUGCUCACGUGACCCCGAGUUUUUAAAUAUUUGCCUAUUUGGAAAAUAGUCAUGAAUCAUGAUCGUUAACAAACAAUCUUCACUUUAUUUAUUUAAGAUCUAUUUUUUGGAGCUCUAGUUUAGUUUAUUAUUAUUAUUAUUAUUAUUAUUAUUAUUAUUAUUAUUAUUUAGUAACUCCUCUUAUAUUAAUGAAAAAGAGAGGAGGAAUCCAAACUUGUUUAUUCUUCCUCUUUUAAGGUGUUUGUUUUUUUUAUUUUAUUUUUAUGCUUCAUAUGUCUUCAAUUUCUUAGCAUUUGUCUUAUAUUUCUUCUUAUCCGAUUCAUUAUUGCAUCCUUGGUCAAUCUUUCACGAGGAGUGCCUACUUUUUUCCUUUUUAUUAUUUAAUUCACUUUAUCUUUAUAUUUUCCUUUUACACUUUAUUUCCAAUUCAAAACGUGUCAAAAAAAAAAAUUGGUAACAAAAAAAAAAAAAAAAAUCAAUUGUAAUGAUUCUUAUAUAAUUUUAUUUAAUUUUUAUUAAACAAUAAAGAAAUUAAAAAUAUAUAAAUUUUUAAAUAAUUAUUAUAGUCUUUCAUUUUUGUGUAUAAUUUCUUUUGCAAGAAAUAGUGUAGGCUUUCCACGGUCUAAAGGAAAUGGAAUAUCAAAUGAGAAGGUAAUAAUAAUAAAGUGAGUUAUAGAUACUAAUCAAACUAAUCCACUAAUGAAUUAUUUAUUUUUAUUUCACAUGGACAAAUCCUAAAAGUUGGAGUUCUAAUUUACUUUUAUGUUAAGCUUUUUUAAGUAAAAAUCUUUUAUUAUUAUAAUUUAUAGACAAAAAGAAACCCAUUAAUGUGAUGGAUAAAAAAUUUCAAUUUAAAAAAAAAAAAAUUAAAGUUGCUAAAUUUUUGUAUUUAUUAUUUCAAACUCAUUUAAAUAAUUUAAAAAUAUGUCUUCAAUUAAUUUUAAUGAAACAAAGCAUGAUUUUUUUUUAAUUUUUUUUUCUUUACCAAAUAAAGCAUUAUUAUAAUACGUUGAUUAAAUUUUCAUCAUGUCUCUCAAGAUUUGGAUUAAAUAUACUUAGUUGUCAUAAAUUUGAAAUUUUAUUUAAUGUAUUUUUUAUUUUAAAUUAAAAAGAUGAAUGCAAAUAAAAAAAAUAUGUAUAUUUUAUAAAAUUUUAAAUUAAACGAAGGAUACGUGUAUUUAACCAAGGUGAAUGAAAUUAAUCCAAAUACUUUUUGGUAACUUGCAAAAUAUCUUGACGAAAUCAUUAUGGCAGGCAUCGUACAAGCUCAACCCUUGUCGCCUUGCUAGAAAUAGAGAAACAAAAAGACCCCCAAAUUGGGUUGCAUCCUAAAUAUGAAGAAGUGGUAACAAAGGAAGAAAAAAUGCUGUGUUAUUGAAUAGUUAAUACAUUGAACAUGAUAUGUUACAUAGAGAGCCAGAUUAAUCCUAGUGGAAUUCCACUGUCACGAUGGUAACCUAGGGUUAUGUUUGGUUAUUGAAAAUACCAAGAAAAGAAAAAAAAAUAUAAAGGAAAAUAAUUUUUUCAUUUUUGAUUGUCUUAUAAAAGAUAUAAAAAAAAAACAAAUAUAAUUAAAACUAAUUAAAAAUUUAGGUAUUUUUAAAUUAUUUAAUUUUUAUAUUAAUGAGCGAAAAUAAAUAAAAUAAGUUUAAAAUAACAAAAAAAAUAAUUUACCGAUUUUUAAUCUAUAUUUUAUUUUACUUUUUCUUUGUAUUUUUUUUUUCUUAUAUUUUCCCUCAAAUUUUCUGAAUCAAACAUAGCAAAAAAGGAGCUACCCCUUUCGAAAGAAACUCCCAAGAAUUUCAAAGAAACCUGCUGAGAUAAUGAAUGAGGGAUCACUGUCGGUAAACAGUAUCCAUUCUUUUGGGAGGACUUUCAAACUGAGAAGUUGUUUUCAUGACUUGGAAACAAAAUUUUGAGCUCUAAGGGGGUCUGUAUUUGGGCCCUAAAAUUCAAUCCAUCAAUCUGAAAAAUGCUUAGGAUAAUGAUUUGAUUUAGCCACAAUCACUAAACAAAUUCCAGAGGAAAAUUUCGCUACUCAUAGGUGGCUGAUUCUCAUAAAAAGACAUCGUGGUAGGGUGUCUCAAGUGCAGGCUCACCAUCAACUUGCUGCCCUUUUUAGAUUAUUGUAAAAUGAUUUCACAUGAAGCCCAAUGCAAAACUUUGAAAGAAAAGGUUGGUGGAGACGUGAAGAAUAUGUAACCCAUAGGCCAUAACUAGUACCGAAGAUUAUUGAACAAACAUUCAAGGUUUUUGUAUAGACGAAACUGAAAAGAAUGUGUACCAGACUCAGGCGUUCAGAUCAGAUGAUGCCGUAAUGUGGAUUGUGGAGGAGCAUUGUGCAGACAGAUAAUGAGAUUCUGAAAGCGAGGCCACUGAUGGGCCCUUGGAAGGGGGGCGUGCCUUCAAAAUUAUAUAUAUAUAUAUAUAUAUGUCAUUGAAAAUUGGAAGCAACUUUUCUUCUUAAGUUAUUUUAAUCGAAGAAGAAACAAAAAGUUAAAAACAUACAUUAUUCUUCCUUCUUACGAGGUUUCCGGGUCUAAAUUACUAUGGUCUCUGCAACUGGCGUCGUUUUCUCUCCCCUCUCUCUAUUUUCCCUUUAUUUUUUCACUUUUAGAAAGAAGCAUCCCAUCAAGAAUCUACUACAACCCUACGCUUCCAUUUUGAUUUAGAAAGUUAAAAAUAAGUUUAAGUUAAAAAAAAAUAUUUUCUUAUAUAAUUAUUUAAACUUAUUUCUUUUCCUUUUUAUAUAAAGAAACAAAUAUUUUGCAAAUAAAUAAAUUUCUAAUUAUUUUCAUUAACAUAAUAAUAAUAUUUUUCAUAUGACUUUAAUCACAAUUUUUUUUACCACUUGUCCAAGGCGGUGAGAGGUGAUAAAAUGUAUUAAAAAAACGAUUAAAUUGCAUUAGGUAUAGAAGUUUUGUGCUUCAAUUAUCACUUAUAAAAAUAAAAUAAAAAUAGUCAAAUUUGAGUGUGCAAGUUGGUAUUCGUAUGUAGAAGGAAUUGGGGGAUUUGGGGGUCCUAACAAAUUUGAUAUGAUUGAUGGAAGGAAAUGAUUAUUAUAGGAUAAAGUCCGAAUGAAACGCUGACGAGGGGGGAAAAACAACAGUGGCAAUGCACUAUCCACAGAUCCAUGAUUGAUUUAUGUUAGCAAUAAUGAAUUAUUUUGACUUUGAUAACCUUGGUUAAGAGAAUUUGGUCUUGUUAUUAUCAUUUUUUCAAAAAAAAAAAGUGUAGGUAACUAGGUAGUUGAUUUAUUAGAAUUUAGAAAUGAGGAUCCCCUCCUCCUGCAAGAGCCGUGACAGACAUGCCUGCUUUCUUGCCAGAUUAUACCAAUGUGCCCAAAUAAUCCCCCAUCUAUCAUCUCUGCACCCUGGAACACGUCACUCCCUCCUUUGAGCAAUAAAAUAUCUCUUUUAUUUUCUUUUGAACCACUCUUCUAUUUCUUUGUACCAGACUGGACCCAUUUAAAUUCUUCGCUACGCUGUUCCCAAGGACUACGAGAAUCAAAAUAGCAAAAUUCUUGAAUCAUUUUAAUGGGUUCAGAAACCACAUGUUUCUCUAGAUCAUAAGAGGAAAAUCUUUUUGGAUGGUGUUUGUGUUGUGUUGUGUUCAAUAUUAAAUACUCAAUUAAAUAAGCUAAAUCAAAUAUCACAUGAAAAAUAAUCAAAUUAAAAAUAGGGAGAAUUAUGUUUUGAGGGUAGAUGGACCCCAAAUUAACAAAAGGUUCAUGUAACUCUUCAAAUUGAGCCCAGACCCAAUGAAAAUAUGGAAAUUGAGUUGAAGUAUAUCAUCAUUCAGUAUUUCCAAAAAUGUCCUUUGUUGAUUUUGAGAAAAAAAUUAAUAUUUUUGAAAAAUAUUUUUAUGUAAUUUAAUAUUUUUUUAAAUACUUUUAUUUAAUUUAAUAUUUUUAAAAAAUAAAUUUAUUUAAUUUAAUAUUUUAAAAAAUAUUUAAUUUAAUAUAUUUUUUAAAUACUUUAAUUUAAUUUAAUAUUUUUGAAAAAAAUUUUAAUUUAAUAUUUUUGAAAAAAAAAUUAUUUAAUUUAAUAUUUUUUAAAACUAUUUUUAUUUAAUUUAGUAUUUUUGAAAAAAAAUUAUUUAACUUAAUUUUAUAAAAUAUUUUAUAUGUGUUCUUAAAGGGUAUAUUUGUCCGUUACUAUUUCAUAUCCUUCAACUCAAUUUAAAGAGUUAUAUGGACCUUUUGUUAAUUUGGGGACCCAUCUACCCUCAAAAGAUAAUUCUCCCUUAAAAAUAUAAAUUUAAAUAUGACAUAAUUAUUAAAUAUGUUAGAUCUUGUAUGAGUUUAUAAGAUUUAUGUUUCAAAAUAACAUGUUUAUAAUUCAUCUAUUGAUUUAUAAUCAAAUUUUAAAUAAAUUAAAGUUAUUCAAGUUAAUAAAUAUGAUUUAUGUUAUAAAGACUAACUAAAAAAUAAUUUAUUAAUUAAACGGAUCCUGGUCAAUAAAAAUUUGAUUUAAAUACGAUCAUACUUAAUCAAAACUUAGGUCAAAUUGUAUUGAUAAAUUACAUCAAAACCUUGUUGUGUUCAAUAUUUUAUAUUAAACUAUUUUUUAAUAAAAUUAUUUUUAUAAAUAUAAUAUUACAUCAUUUGGAGAAACAAAAUAGUAUUAUAUUGAUUUUACAUAUAAAGCAACCAGUUAACCCCUCAUUAUUUUGAUCCAUUUCACAUCCAUAUCAUUCUCAUAAUUUUUUUAUAAUAUAUUAACAUGAUGGACGGUAAUUGAGGGUAGAAAAAAAAGAUGAGAAGAAUAAAAUAAUGUGAAUCCUCUCUAAAUGUUACAUCUUCUGACAAAUGAAGUCUAUAGAAAUGUGUAAAAAAAAAAAAAACACUUAAUUGUGAGGUUCACUUGAUUUAGCAAAAAAUUAAUAUUUUAUUUGUUGUGUGAUUUAAAAAUAAUAUUUUAUUUUUAAAAAUAAAAAAUUAUUUUUAAAGUUUUUUAACACUAUUUUACUAUUGUUCUUUGAAAUAAUUUUUAAAAUUAAAAUGAAAUAACUAAUAAUUUUUAGAUAAUAAAUUAAAGUUGUUUUUAUUAGAUUUUAAAAAUAAAAGAAAAAUAUAAAACCAUUUGAUCAAAUUUUUUUAAACUUAUUUUUAAAAGGUUUUUUUUUUUUUUUUUUUUUUUCUAUCCUAAGUUAAAAGAUAAAAAAUAAUUUUUAAAGAUAGGUUACGAGCAAAUGCCACAAACUUUUUUCUUCUCUUUCCCUUGUUCGGAUAGAAGUGAAAAAUAUCCUCCCAUGGAUCGACAUUACGUGAGCCAUCACCAUUCCCCAACUGCAAUUCAACCGCCAAAGCUGAGGUGUCAUUAUUAGUUUGAACAAAAGUCAGCAUUGUCCACGUGGUGACAAGCGGAACUGACCCAACUUGCAAGGCAAAAAAAUAAAUAAAAUAAAAUGAAAAAAUCAGAUCACCAUUAUGACGUCAGUCCAAUUGCUGACCUGGCCGCCGUCCCCCAUUUGACCCACGUGUUCAUUUAACCCAUUCGCCGUAUGCCGUGGCUCCCCACCCAUAUGGCCAUAUCUGCCAUUUAUUUUAUCCGUUGCCUCCAUUCGGUUUUUGGAUUUUACCCAUUCGCCCUCGUCUAUUCCCAUUUCCGUAUUUGCCCACCAAGGAAAUUCAAUUCCCAUGCUUUUGUUUUACAUUCAAAUCCUCCCCCCUCUAUAUAAAGGAGGGAGUAGGGCUUGAAAGUUUCUCAAGCCAACAUGGACUGUUGAGAGUGAAAGACAGAGGAGCCACAAACAAAUAUCACUCACUCAAACCAAAGCCAAAACCAAUACCGAAUUCAAUUCAAAUGACUUCUUUCUCUCUCAUCAAUUCCCUGAAUUCCGAUUCCGAUUUCAAUUUGUUAUCGGAUUCUUUUUCCUGGGAAAACUCCCUACCUUUCAAUGAAAACGACUCCCAGGAGAUGCUCCUCCUGGGCAUGCUGGCCAGCUCCACUCAGGAAACCUCAGAAACAGUUUCUUUGAAUCGAGUGAAGGAGGAAGAAGUGACUUCCCAGGAAAAUCCCGAGAAGGAGAAGUCAUACAGAGGCGUUAGGAGGCGGCCAUGGGGGAAAUUCGCAGCAGAAAUAAGGGACUCGACCAGGCAUGGCAUAAGGGUGUGGCUGGGAACAUUUGACAGUGCAGAGGCAGCUGCUCUGGCCUAUGAUCAAGCUGCUUUUGCGAUGCGGGGCCCUGCGGCAGUCCUCAAUUUCCCGGUGGAAAGAGUGAAGGAAUCGAUGCAGGAGAUCAAGUGCAUCUUGGAGGAGGGGGGCUCACCAGUGGUGGCCCUCAAGAAGAGGCACUCUAUGCGGAGAAAAAGUCCUUGCAAGAAACAUAAAAGUGAAGAGGUGAGGUUAGAAAAUGUGGUAGUGCUGGAGGAUUUGGGUACUGAAUACUUGGAACAGCUCCUCACUUUCUCUGAGACCUCUAGUCCUUGAUCAUCAUCAUCCAUCACCUGGAUAGCUUCUUCUCUUUGCUCUGUUUCUUACUUUUCUCUCUCUCUCUCUCUCUCUCUCUCUUUUUUUUUUAUGUAAUUUUUCUUAAUGUAUUUUUGGAGAUGGCGGGGGUGUAGUGGUGGCAAUUAUCCAUCUAGAAUUUUUCAAAAGAUAUGUUCUUUUGUUUCUUUGUAUAAAGUUGAAAAGUGGGGAUCAAUUGUGAUGGUGCUCUAUGUUCAUCCACCCAAUUUAUAUAAUCAAGGUGAUUAAUGUUUUUUGAUAUCAACAAUUUGUGAAUGACAUAGAGAGAGAGAGAGAGAGAGACCUUAUUUUCUACACUCAUUACGGUGGUUUCCAUUUGGGGAAGGAAAAGGAAAUGGCUAAGAAUGUUACCAAAAGAAGUGGGGUGGCUUUCAUAUGCGUGGUGGCAUACUUGCAUACAAACUUUUCAAUUGUGUUCUGCAUGCCACUCGGGUCAAUUUCAUUUCUUUUACUCCUAGUAGCCUAAUUGGAUUUCCUUUUUCUCAUGAGACAUCAAAUAAAUUUCAUUUUUUUAUAUUUAAAUAGUUAGGUAAGUUUGAUAGUGAGUUAUAUUUUAUACAUUAAUUCAUCUUUUAGAAUGUUGUCUACAAUAUAAACAGUGUAAUUAAUUUCAUCAUUACAGAACAGUCAUCUUAUAAAAUAACAUAAAAAUUAUUGGAUCACUUGUAUGGCACCACUGAUUUGGACUUGGUAUGGCUCUGUUUGGCUUCAUAGAAAAAAUUUGGACCCAAUUUGAAUGUCUUGCAUAAAAAGAGAUACGUCCCACUUUGAAUGAUAUUGAAGAAAAAAAUUUCUGAUGAAGAAUAUAUUGUUGGCAGGGUCAUGCAGGCCAAUAGGGAAACGAUAAAUUCAGAAGAAUGAGUCCAAACCAGUGGGCUUGAAAAUUAAGAAGAGAAUUGCUGUAUAAAACAAUCAUUUCUUAAUCGAGUUCACUUUCUGAAUAAUCGUCACUUUGAGAAUGCAUACUUAGGAAGAUGAUGAUCCUUAAUGGGAAUAAUCAAAGGCAUCAAAAAAUUGUUCUGGAACAAUUCUUGAUUGUCUCCAGUAAAAUUCAAAGUCAAAAGUCAAAAGUCCAGUCGGUCAACACCAAACCAGGCCAGUCCAAAAGACAUUAAUUUGCAAUCUAGAAUCUAUGAUGAGGUGGCGAAAUCAAACCUUGGCUUUUCACCAGGGAAUGGUACUCUGAAUUUGGUCAGUUCACUGUUUCGAGUGAAUAGGGUGUAGUAAUUAGUAAAUCAUAUUUUAGAUUUGUGUCACAAGUUACAAGGGAUAUGGGCUGACGUUCAAUUUUGGCGACAAUUUGUGGGCCCGUAUAUUUGUUGAGAUGUGGAAAUUGGGUGUGUGCUUUUUUCUGCUACCACAUAAAUAUAUUUCUUUGAAUUGAAGAGUGUUUCAGACCAUUUUUUUUCAAGUCACAAAUGGACAACUGAUUGAGAUUGUAUUGGUGAGAGUAGGAGUUUAUUUUGGGCUGGUUGAGCGAAGUUGAAAGUCGAGUUGGACCUAACCCUUGAAUUCAGCAGACUACAGUCCGAUCCUGUAUUUUGGAUUUAGGGAACCUUCUUUCCCAGAAGCUUCGUCUGGGUUUUAAAGUCUAAAUGUGGCUACUCUUAAACAUUGGAGAAAGGAUGAGCGUUCACAAGCAAAUGGGUAAUUGUGGAUGGUUCAAGGACCUGGCCAGCUGGUCUUCAAGUUUGGAUGCCGGUUUGGGCCUGAGAGAGUCUUUGCAAAGUGACUUCACUUCAGCCUAUGAGAUCAAGAUAUCAUGGUGAUGUCCGAUCACUUAGGUUUCAUUUUCACCUCGGAUUACCGUUACCAUGUUCAUGAAUAAAAAUAAAUAAAUAAAUGAAGCCUUAUAGAGAAAUUAAUGAAGUGAGCUAUACAAGCAACUGGGCCAGGAGCCUACAAGGCAGAAAUUCCCUGCCCUAGACUAGGCCGAAUAAAUUAGAUGAAUGAAUUGGGGAAACCUGGGCCAGCCACACAUCCUCCUGAAGGCUGAUGUCGAACUCGCUUACGAGGAAUGGACAUGGGAGAUUGGGCUGGGACCAAAUAACCAAUUGACAGCCCUAUCCUUGUGGCAAGACGUCAGUAAAAUGGUUCAUUCUGAUUUUACGCUGCCAUUCAAUUUAAUUUUAAUUUUUGUUUAAAGCGAUGUACAAAUUGAAUGGUGUCUAGUCACUUAAAGAGUGGUUCAUAAUACACUUAAUUUAAACAAAAAAGAAAUUAUUAGAUAGGGGAUUCUCCAAUAAAAACCACCCCAUCUUGUCAGCAAGUCCGGAAACUUCCUUCACUUAGGGCGUAUUUGUUUUUUUAACUUUAAUAUUAAAGAAAGUUGGUUAAACCUUAUGACACUUUUAUAUUAUUUUAUGAAUUUUUUUUAAUUUUUAUUUUAAUGGAAUUUUAACUUUAAUACAAGUUGGAGUAAUUCUUAUCUUAAAAACAAAUCAAAAUUACUUUAAUUUUAUAUAGAAAUAAACUUACAGUAAAUUUACCAUGAAAAUUUCUAAGUCAAAUACACCAUAAGUGCUAGUAUUUUAUAAUAUUUAGAAACAUGUUAAAUUAUUAUUAUUAUUUUUUAAAAUUAUUAGUUUUCAUAUUAGUUUUAGGGAAACUUGUGCUUUAGGUCUUUUAUUUGCAAAUAAUAUGGUUUUCAAAUCCUAAGAAUAGAAAAUAUGAGAAUCAACUGUUAAUGUGGAAAAUAAUAUCAAUUUUGUGCAAUCUCUAUUGACUCAUUUUUUUGUGCCUAGAUUGCCUUCACCCACUUCCAUGUCAACAACCACAUUAAUAGAUUGUUUUUUUUUUAUAAAACAAAUAAUUAUUAUGUUUAAAAUUUUGGGGAAACUCUCUAUCUCUCUUACUUCUUCACUACAUCCGAGACCCAUCUUCCUUAAACGUUUGCCUCUCAUUUUGCCCUAACCCCAAAUCUCAUAAAUUUCUCAUUUUCUUGCCUCAUUUGAAAUAUGAAGAUGACCGAUUCUCAAACAUCUCUGUCUCUCUCUUCACGUUUUGACCAGUCUAAUUGGAAACCCAUUUUCCAAAAACCUUCUUUCUUUCAUUUUGCCCUAACCCCACUAUCUCCCUCUUCAAGACCUAAUCACCCAAACUCGAUAUCUAUCUUCCCAAAACCUUCAAGCAAACUGAACUAGACCCAUAUCUUCUUUUUUCAUCAUCAAAGGUGAAAUUUUUUUAAGGCUUUUGGAAACCGAAUUGGAGCUUUCCCUUCUUCUGGGAUUAAUCAUUCGCAAGUGAGUUUUCCAUUUAAGGCUUUGUUUGGCUGUUGAAAUCUUGGGAUCAAAGGUCUUUUAUUUUCAGGUUUCUUGUAUUUUGCUUUAUUUUCUUGUAUAUAACAAUAAUCAUUGUAACAUAUGCUAGUAGUUACCCUUGGUGCAACUUUACAUUUCCAAAUACCCUAAAGUCCAAAGCUUUUAAUUCCCUUUUCAAAGCUUUCAACUUUGAAAGCAGACUAAACCAUAAGAACUAUGAAACUUAUAUCUCUAUCACCACUAAUUAAGCAUGUCUAUGAAUCCUUCCACUUUAAGUCACUUAUUCUCAAACCAAGAAGGGCUCCUCUCAUUCUCACCCCACCUCAUCUAAAUGAGGGAAAUGAUCAAUUGCAGCCAUGCUUUGCACCAAAUUAGAGAAGUGAUCCUCCCAAUCAUCCAUUACCAAAAAUUGAUCAUGCUGAUGAGAUCAUAAGAGUCUAUUCGGAACUCCCAGUUUACUUGCCUCUUAUCUCAGGAUCCUCCAUUACCCCCUGUCUUUCCAACAUCAAAUCAACUUGCAAACAAUUCCUUUGUAGAUAAAAUGUUUUUAAUAUUGCAAAAGGGGACUUAUCAUAAUGGUUGAAUCGAUUUAUUUGAUAUAAUCACUCAAAUUCAAGCUUAAAAUUGAUCAUAAUAAAAUGUUUUUAAUAUUGUUAAAAGGAGAUUAUAAUGGUUUUAUUUGAUAUCAUUACUAAAAUUCAAGCUUUCAAACAUGCUCUACAAAGAAGUUCUAAAAGACUACAAGAAAGAGUUUCCACUAAAGAAAAACAAUGAAACCAUUUCUACUAAAGACAAACAAUGAAACCACAGAUGCUUUGUGAAAUAUGUACCCGCACAAUCCAACAAACUUUAGAAAUUCACAAACACUACCUAGAAUUUUUGCUGACCAGCAAAAAAUUUAUGCAAUUUAAUUCUUAUUGUUAUUAUUAUUUUCAAUGUGAACAAAUAUGAUUGAAUUAUGAAGUAUUUGGCCAGAAGAGGAUCUUGCCUAAUUAUAGUCAUUAAACAACCAUUUAUACCAUAGCCUCUAGACUUUAAAAAGUUUAUAAAACUCAAGGGCUUCCACCCAAUUUCUAGAUAUCUCCAUAACAUUCUUCUGACUAUUAGAAAGCAAUUACCACUUUAAUUUUUCAUUUCAUGAGUGUUCAAUUCAGAAAAAGACCAGGAUCGAACUUGCGAUCAUGCAGUCGAAAAUCCACCUGUGCAUGAAACUAUUGCCUCACGAUUGCAAACUCAAGUUGGAGUCCAGUAACAACUCUAGGUUUGCUGAUGUGCUCCAUUUGAAAUAAAGGAACUAAAGAAUACUUUAUAAAGAUUAAUUACCUUCAUAUUUUAGGUUGGGGUUAAGGCAAAAUGUGAUAGAUUGAGAGGAAGAAAAUAUAUCUUGUUCAGGAAGCCAAUAUUUUGGAGUUCACCUUUCCAUUCGAGUCCACUCUGCUAUAGCAAAAUCAGAGUCACAACUAUGCCUCUUUAAGCUAUCCUUUAAUUGGAUGAAUUGCAGAUUUGGUUGCUGAGAAAGUGGAUAAGAAAGAAAAAUGCAUACUGUAGCUUGAGAUUAAGAGUUUGUUUUCUAAAAUGAGAGAAAGGGAAAGAGAAAAAAUGCAUAUUGUAGCUUGAGAUUAAGGGUUUGUUUUCUAAAAUGAGAGAAAGGGGAAGAGAAAUGUUCGACAACUUUGAGAUGACAAAUUUUUAGAUUUGGAAAAUUUGAGAUGAGUCUCAGGUUUUUUUUUUUUUUUUUUUGUCUUUGUCUUUGUUUUUUUUUUUUUUUUUUGUUUUUUUCCCAAAAACAACCUGUUAAUGUGGUUGUUGACAUAGAAGUGGGUGAGGGCAAAAUGGGCAUAGAAAAAAGAGUCAACACAAAGUGCACAAAACCCAUAUUAUUUUCCACAUUAAUGACUGAUUCUCAUAUUUCUUGUUCUUGGGAUUUGAAAACCAUAUUAUUUGCAAAUGGACCUCCCAAAGCACAGGUUUCCCUUAGUUUUAUGUCUCCAUCUACAUUUUACAUAUAAAUAGAUUAUUUUAUAAAAUUUGUUUUGUAGAUAUAUUAGUUAAUAAUUAUAUAAUUAAUGAUAUAGAAAACAUAUAAAAAUCAUAUUUAAAAAAGAUAAUUACAUAUUCCUCAACAAUCCAUCCCAAGAAUUCGAGGUUGAGUUGAAAACAUGUAGAGUCUUUGAUGUUAUUAUAAUCAUAUCCAACACAUAUGAUUAUUGUUUAUGAGAUAUUAUUAGAAAGUUUGUCUUAAAAUAAUUGAUUUAUUACCCACCUUUAGCAAAUGCCCAUUUUUGCGUCUUUCAAAAUUUUCAUUUUUUUUUUGUUUAAAAGAAGUAUUGUAAAGAAUGAUGAAAUAAGAAAUUUGUUGAGAAAGUGUGAGUAAAUAAUUUUACAUAAAAAGAGAUUUAAUACUUGAUAAAUAAAAUAAUAAAAUCAUGAUUUCUAGUUGUAUAGGGCCGGGUGGAUGGAGUGGCUAAGAUGUAAUUCUUGAAAUAGAGGAGACAACAUCAAUGUAUAAAAGUUUAACAGAGAAGGAAAGUGUGUUUGAAUGACUUUAUUUUCUUCAUUUAAAGUUUUGACGAUGAGUGUUUAUACAAGAUAAAUUUUCAAAUGAUAGGACUCCUAUUUACAUGGAGUUUGUGAUAUACUAUGAUUAUACAAAUUUAAAAUUCAAACAGAUUCAUGAGUUGAUAGGAGUCUGCUCAAUACGCCCCUUCAAAAUGGUGGGAGAUAGCACACCAAUCUUGACUCGAAGGGCCUAAACUCGUGCAGAAGAUGAGGGCUUUGUUAGAGCAUCGACAAGUUGAUCCGUGGUUGACAUAUGGGACACCUUGAGCUCACCUGAUUAAACCUUGUUUCAAACAAAAUGAAAAUCAAUCGCCGAUGUGUUUCAUGGAGAGUGAAACAUGGGAUUUGCACAAAGAUAUGUUGCACCCACGUUAUCACAAGAGAUAGGAGGUGGUGAUAAAUUUGAAACACUAAGUUUUGAGAGAAGAGAAUUAACCCAAAGAACCUUUGAGGCUGUAGAGGCCACGACGUGAUAUUUCGCUUCAGUGGAAGAGCGUGCUAUGAACUUUUGUUUCCUCGAUGACCAAUACACAAGAUUGUGACCAAGAAAAACAAUGGGAGCAUUGGUGGAGGAUCUGACAUAAGGAUUCCUUGCCCAUUCAACAUUCGAAUAUGCAUGUAGAUUGAUGGGCGAUUUCUUAUGCAAGAACAGACCAUGCACCAUUGUGCCGACUAAGUAUCUAAGCAAUCUUUUAACACAAGACCAAUGUGUUGAUGUUGGAUGGUGCAUAAAUUGAGAUAAUUUAUUCAUCAAGAAGGUGAUGUCAGGGCUAGUAAGAGAGAAGUAUUGAAGGCUUCCAACAAUUGACAUAUAUUUAGUGGGACCAGGAAAAGAGGUGUCAUCACACAGAUUUGGAACAUUGUUGAGGAACAUCAAUGAUUGAACUGGUUUGGUAGCCACCAUUUGUGUUUUCUUAAGAAGCUCUCGAAUGUACUUGAGAUAAAAAUAAUCCUUUGGAAGUAUGUAUCAUUUCAACACCAAGAAUAAAAGAUGAAGUCCUGAGAUCCUUAAUGGAGAAUUUGACUGCUAAUUGAGAGAUCACGCGAGCACGAAAAACAUUAUUGUUACUUGUUAAAAUAAGAUCAUCAAUAUAAAUAAGUAGGUAAACAAUGAGACCACUCUUUUUAAAAAUGAAGAGGGAUGUCUCGGUUUAGGAGUUGACGAAGGCUAUUGAGAGGAGAAAUUGGCAAAGUUCAUGAUACCAUGAUCGUGGAGCUUGUUUAAAGCCAUAAAAAGCCUUACAAAGUUGGCAAAUGUGAUGAUGUGUGUAUUCGUGAACCCAGGAGGUUGAAUCAUGUAAACAUCUUCAUGAAGUGUCCUAUGCUAGAAUGCAUUAUUAAUGUCCAAUUCAUGAGUUGAUAGGAGUCUGCUCAAUACAAUGUGGGAGUGUGAUUUCAAAAUUAGGGUAAUUUCGAAAUGGAUUUUGUAUUCACAAGUUGAAUUUCAAAAUUAUUUUGAAAUGGUCUUUUAACUUUAAGCAGUUGUGUUCAAAAGGUCAUAACUUCUUCGUUUCAAUUUUGAUUUACACAUUGUUUAAAACAUUGGACUCUUUACUUCCCGAGCUUCAAAACGAUAUAUAGUAUGCUCAAAAAUGACAUCAGGAUUGGUUCAAAUUUCAUCUUGAUAUUAGAGUACAUGUUGUGAUUAGAUUUUGAGUUCCAAAUUUCCAUGUAAACUUGAUUGCAUUUGCUUCAAACCUCCUUCAUUAUGGUUGCUUGCCCUCUAUCUCACUUUGCAACAUUUGUUACUAGUAUUUUAUGUCCAUGACUUACUCAUUUCAACCUUUCUUGGAUUCUUCAUGGUUCACAAAUUAUGGAUUCUUCAUGGUUCACAAAUUGAGUCUUUCAAUUAUGCAUGUUUAACUCCUAUUUCCUUGGUUGAUAAUGACUUUUACACUUAUCAUUUUCUUUUAUUCUUUAAACCUGAAUUUAGACUUACAAAAAAAAGUUAGAUCCAUAACUAGGGUCUUAGCAUCAAUUUGAGUUAAGUUGGAUGAUUUGAAAAUUUUAUAUUACAUAAAUCAUAUCAUACAUGUGCCAUUGGAGUGCACAUUUUGGCUCUAAUCAUGUUCCAACCCAUUGUUUUACUCUUGCAUGAAGUAUGUGGCCAUUGAUUUUAAUUUUAUUUGCGAUUAGGUUCAAAAUGGUGCUUUUGUGUUGCUCAUGUGUCAUCAGAAGAUCAACUAAUGGAUUCUCUAACAAAACUACUACAUCAUAGUCAUUUUUUUUUUUCUUAAGACCAAGAUUGAGAUCUCCAAUCGGAGCCAACUCCAUCUUGGGGGCAUGUUAGUGAAAGAUAAAAUUUAUCUUUAAUUUAAAUAUUAAUAUUUAUCAGUUAUUAGUUUUAAUUAGAGUAAAAGAUAGAGUUUAAAUUGGAGUAGGAGAUAAACUUGUGUUUGAACUAGAAUAGAAGAUAAAGUAUAAAGAUUUAUGUUUGAAUUAGAAUAAAAUAUAAAGUUUGAAUUAGAGUAGAAGAUAAACUUGUUCUUUAUUUGUAUAUAAAUAUUCAUCAAUUCUUGAGAAGAAGAUUAUUUCAUAGUUUUUCUAUCUUCUUUUUUCUUCAUACAUAUCUGCAAGAAAUUGAAGAUUUCAAGUAAAAUAUUUUCUGUUUUAAAUAGUGAAAAAAGCUAGAAAUUCACUUUGUUAUCUCUUGGGGUAAAUUGACAAGGUUUAACGUUAAGAAGGUGAAUUAUUUUUUCAGAAAAACUGAAGUAGCUAGGAUAUCUGGCCAGUUGUGAUCGAUAAAAAAGUUGUAAAAUCUCUCAUAUACUAAACAGGUUUUGGAUGUUGGUAUGGUAAAUCCAUCUGCAGUCAUUCGUCAUCUCAUCUAGUGAGAUGUUUGGGAGGUGGUGACCGCCGGAUUGGGUUUCAUUUGGUUAAAUCUGUCAGUGGGUUGGCUACUACCCGAGCCUCUUGCUUUGGGGGAGGUGGGUUCUAGAUAUAAUGUUCAAACCAUUUUAGUUAUCAUAUGCAUGACAUGUAAGCAUAAUCUCUUUAUCACUUCUUCAAUGGGAGUUCAUGGUUAGGAAUUGACUUCUUUUCUUCUGGGAUGCUUGGCAUGUAAUGGACAAAGUUACUUUUAUAUCGAUCGAAUUUCUAGUAUUAUAGUGAAGACUUACCCUUUUGACAUUUUAUAUCGAAUUAUAGAAGAUGAAAGGGACAUACAUGCAAUCGACUGACGCUUUAGUGAAUAUGCUGAAAAUAUGCUGAUGCUGUGGAGAUCGUAUGAGGACAGAGGAAAAAGAUAGAAAUGGAUAUAUAAUUAGACCUAGGUUUUUAUUAAAUGAGAUGGGGAACAUAGAGUGAGGGAAAAUCAAAAUUUUUGGCUGCAGUUCACAUUGGUGAUAUUUUGGAUUGACAAAGACUAACGACUUUUCUAUUUUUCUUUUCGGCCUGACUGGAUAGUUGGACAUGGACAAUACAGAAUCCACAGAAGGAUUGUUGGGACCGCUGAAAAUUAGCUAGAAGAAGCUGAGGAAGUAGUCUACGUAGUCAAAUACCAAACACAAAGAAAGAAAGAAAUGGAUAUCAUGGAUGCCUAGAGUUAUACUCCUAAUACCGUCACAGGUAUUUUUCUUUCCUCCUUUUUUUUUCUACGAUAAUUAGAGCAUUUCUCCUCCUCCUCCUCCUCCUCCCCCCACCCCACCACCAAAAAAUAAAAAAAUAAAUUAUUGCAAGUAACACUUCAAAUAUUAAUUUAUACAUUCUAAAGUAUAUAUUCAUGAAAUAACUUGAGUAUCAUACAUUAGUUCUCAAAAAAAAAAAAAAAAAAAAAAAAAAAUUACUGGAAGAGAAAAGUUUAAGAAAACAUAAAAAUAUUCAACUACUAUUUUAAAGAGAAAAUUUAAUUUUUACACUAUAAAUUUGAAGAGAACUUUUACAUGCAUCUUAUAUAAACUACCAUUUUUUGCUAAAAGGCUUAAAUUUGUCAAAAAUACCCCUUAGGUGCUUAACGUUCUGGUCAUAAUAUAAUUGGCAUCUUUUCUCAAACAUAAGGCCUGUGUGUGGGAACAAGAUUUAAUGUUAAUGAGCUUCGCCACCGACAUUUAGUUCCAGAAAUCAUUAUUUUAAUAGAGUGGGCUCAAUUUACAACUUUAAUUAAACUCUAACCAACUGCAUUGUGAAAUGAAUAUGUUUCUUUCGUGGUGAAUCCAAUGAGUUGGGAGUCAAACUUUGCUUCAUUGUGUAUAGAUGAAAUGUUAAGACUCCAUGUAACCUCAAACAUUUCCGCAAUNNNNNNNNNNNNNNNNNNNNNNNNNNNNNNNNNNNNNNNNNNNNNNNNNNNNNNNNNNNNNNNNNNNNNNNNNNNNNNNNNNNNNNNNNNNNNNNNNNNNUUCUUUCGUGGUGAAUCCAAUGAGUUGGAGUCAAACUUGCUUCAUUGUGUAUAGAUGAAAUGUUAAGACUCCAUGUAACUCAAACAUUUCCGCAAUGAGCGGGAGUUCUAAAUUUAAUAAUUGAAAUUGUCAGUGGAACCAGUGGACAAGAGUUGGUUUGUGGUUGACAAACUUAUCCGUUUGAUCUUUACUUGAACAGUUCCAGUGUGUGGAUGGGUACUGAUGAAGUGUGCGCAUUUAUUUUGAGAAGCCUGCUUGUUCGCAUAGAUUUUAACGACAUGAACAUUGUGGUAAGGUUAGAGAGUAAUGCGAAUGUAGGAGCUUAUAUUAGAAAUGACACAAACACGUAAAUAGAAGUAAUCUAUAUAUGAUAUUACUCAUGGACUACAAGCAAAGAAGUACAAUACAUGGAGUAAGUGAUGAAAUGAGCAUUCCUCACUACUACUGCUUGACUGAUGGAACAUGAUGCACGAGAUAGCAUAAGUAGUAGUAGGAAGCAGCUCUUAUUUGUGGCGUCGGUAUACAUCAUACUAGGUAGAUGGUUCAAUUGGCAUGGAUGGGUGGUGGAGCCUUGAAGUGCUUGUGAUGGGGAGCCCACGGCUUCUUCUCAGGAGUUGGUGGCUUCUUGUAUGGAGUUGAUGGAGGUGUUUCUACUGGAGGGUGGCCAGGGUAGUGACCCUGGGGUGGUGAAGGUUCUUUUGUCGGUGGUGGCCUCACUAUUAUUGGCGGUAGAGUUGGUGGCUUGGGCGUUGGCGGUGGUCUCACUACUCUUGGGGGUAGAGUUGGUGUCUUGUGUUUUGGUGGUGGAGGUGGCUUAACAGGAGUUGGUGGCUUGUAUUCUGGGGGUGGUUUCUCCACCGGAGGUGGCUUAUAAACUGGAGUUGGUGGCUUGUAUUCUGGGGGUGGCUUCUCCACUGGUGGUGGCCUGUAAACAGGGGUUGGUGGCUUAUAUUCUGGGGGAGGCUUCUCCACUGGAGGCGACUUAUAAACAGGGGUUGGUGGCUUGUAUUCCGGGGGUGGCUUCUCUACGGGAGGUGGCCUGUAAACAGGGGUUGGUGGCUUCUCCACCGGAGGUGGCUUAUAAACGGGGGUUGGUGGCUUGUAUUCUGGGGGUGGUUUCCCCAGUGGUGGAGACUUGUAAACAGGAAGAGGUGGUUUGUGCUCAUAUGGGGGUGGCUUGUGGUCAUUAGCAAGUGAGGGAGUGGUGAGGACCACCAAUCCAAGGAACAACACGAGUGAGCAAGCAGAAGACAUGUUUGGGCUCUGGUGAUGCACAAGUAGAAGAAAUGGGAACCAUUUAUAAUGCUUCGAGACCUUGGUUAGCACCAAAAUAUGUCAAAAUCUUGAUUACUUCAUUUCAUACAUAGAUUUAAAAUUAUUUCAAUCAACCAUGAUCCUUAAUUUUCUGG